rnacentral:lncRNA from 1 species
UAGAAAUAAACCUGCUUCAAGAUUGUCCAUCUAUGGUUCCAAGAAUUUUUAUAAUGCCACCCUAGUUCCAUACCGAUUUCACCUUAGAGCAAAGUUGAAUGUGCAACUCCCACCGCAGGAUUGUUAAUCAUAUUUGCCAUAGCUACAUUGCUACCCAAUCUAUUGACAAUAAUCCCCUCUUUUACUGGUAAAUCUACGUCUCUACUGAUGUCAACAAGAGGGUUUAAUAAUUUAAUAUAACUACAAAAAUAAGGUCUUUUUGGAUAAUAAUAUUAUUCGAAGGCCAUCAAAUUUCUAAAAUGAAUCUCAAUCUCGUACUCCACAUCAAUAGUUAACAAUUUUAGCACUCCUUUCUUAAAGCGUACCUGAAGCAAGCUGUACAUAGUAAAUUUGAGCAUAUCAUCCAUAAGCAUAUCUAUAAGCUCAACACCUUCAUACUCAAGACCACCAAUCUUAUAACAAUUAUAUGAAACACCAUUAAACGUAACACCAAAAUCAUCAUUAACUACAACACAUUUAAAUUCAACACCAGACUCCUGCAGCCUCGUUGCGUUGUGCAUGAUGUGGCUUCCUAUACGAAAAUGGCUUCCUGCAAGACUUGUGUUCAGUGGACAAGCCCUCAGCACUUAAUAUCUAAUUAAAUCCGUAAAGUGUUUAAUCUUCUUUUUCUCGAAUGAUGGAUCUUUAUUGACACCAAAAUACAAGCAAACAAGAUCGAGAUACUACAAAAAAAAUCAGCCUUUUCCAACGAAAUUUUUCAUUGGAAAAAGGCUAAAUUCCGUUGGAAAUUCCAUCGGUAAAAGUAUCGUAAGUAAUACUUUUCGUUGGAAAUUUUAGUUGGAAAAAUGAGCUUAUUGUAGGGAACUCGACUGGAUUUCCGUUGGAAAUUAAUUUCCAAAGGAAUUCCAUUGAAAAUUUCCUAUAGAAAUUUUCGUUGGAAACAAUUCUGUUGGAAGCAAUUCCGUUGGAAACAAUUCCGUUGGAAAAUCGUUUUCAACAGAAUUAUGUUGGAAAUGCUUUUCCAAAUUCCGUUGGAAAUGCUUUUCCAAUGGAAUUGUUUUAUAUUCAAAAAAGCAUUUGCCAUGAAAUUUUCUGUUGGAAAUGCUUUUCCAACGGAAAUUAUUUUAUUAGAUUAUCAAUUUCUCAAAAAAUUACCAAAAAUUAUUUUACAAAAAAAAAACAAAUUUCUAUUUCGAUAAUAAAAUAUCCAUUCACAUCGACAUUUGAAUUUCAUAUUAUAUAAAAGAAACAAAUAUUAAAAACUGAAAUUCAAUGUGAAACUCAUAUAAUUUAAAAUUACCCUAACACACAAUAUCUAAGAAAAGUUAAACACAUAUGAUUAUAAAACUAAAAUUGUUAUUAAACAGCUAUACUAAAAAGUAUCUCCGUGUAACAGUGAAACAUUGACAUCAUAUCAUGAAAUGUGAUCUUACUUGUGCAGAUGUUAGCUUGAAGGUCCCGCAGUUCCUUGUUUUGAAAGUGCAUUAGUCAUGAUCAUACUUUUCAUACGUGCCAUAAAUUCACUUAUGCUUUCUGCCAUUGCAUUUUUAAUUUCUUCAUGUAUUUCUCCAUGUAAUUCAUCACGUAUCUUACCCAAGUUUUUUAAAAGAUUUUCUACUUUCUCUUCCAAUGCAAUUGCGGGACUGGUAGCGUUUGAGGGCAUAGGGUCACAUGCAGACUCAGAUGUUGCUACAUUGAUGUGUGUUCCAGUAAGUAAAGCUGUAGCAGGGACCCGAGUACCAAACCCAUGCACGUGAAUGCGUGUAGUCUCAAUCCCUCCUAUUGCUUUAGUCCAAGCAUUCGGAUCGAAUUCUGGCUGAGAAGAUGAAUACUCACCAUAUUUCUGUGAUAUUACAGAAUUAUACAUUUCCUACAAAAAAAAAAUUAAACUAGAUUAGUAUUCAACUACAGUUGUCAACUUUAAUUUUAAAAUUAAUCAAUUUGGUACGUACACUCAUAGACUUGGACUUGUUAUCUAUAAAAUCACCAUGACCCCCUAAACGCUUAUGAGUAUGGUUGAACACUUCCAAAAAACUAAAAUCUCCUUUCAUCUCAAUUGCCUGCAUUUAUUUACAACUACAUAUACUCAAUCAUAAUUGAUAUAUAUAAAUUACAUAAAAGGAAAAAUCAAAGUCAAACUACUAAACAGACAAUUUAAAUUUAGUUUGAAAGAAAACCAAACAUAUAAAUGAGAAGUAAAAGUAAUUCAUACCAUCCUUUUUGCAUGAACCACAAAUGAAACUGAACCGCCAGUGUGCUUUGGGAUGCUUCAUUCUUUUGCCGUCAAACCAUUUUGCCUUGCUUUUCUCGAUUUGUCUUGCCAUUCUUCUGUACCUCAUACCGUAUCGAUAAGGAGAUCCCAGAUUUUAUUCGUGAUCUAUUCCCUUGACAUGCCUUUGUAGUCCCUAAUGUUGUUUGUUUUGGCUUCUGUCAUUGCUUUAUUCCUUUCUUCUGACAGCAUGUCUCUUAACUGAUCAGAACAAAUUUUUUCCCAUAUUCGUCGAACCAAAACAUUGUGAUUUGCAGACCAAACACAUUUUUCCUAGUUCAAAAUUUUUUCAUUAUUAAAAAAAUUGAUAGAAAUUAAUUGAAAACUUAAAGUUAUAAUAAAUCAAUAAAUAACAAACUACAUACCUGAAAUUUUUGAAACAUUAACUCCUUUACAUCAUUAGGGACUUUCCUCCAUAUCGACCAUGGACCAUUAAAGUGAUUUUUGAUGAUCCUUGUGAUUGUAGCGGUGACCUCUCGCUCGAAAAAAGUGCUUAUAGAAUAUAAAAGAAAAUUUUAAUAUAUUAAUGUUUUUAAUAAAUAUGACAAUUUCAUUAACAACUAUUAGAAAUAUCUUAAGACAACACACCUCUCCCCAAUUGGAGUUAUACACAAUCUGUUCGCUGGAUCAACAUGAGUCUGUAAUCCUACACUAGGUCCUCUACCCCUUGACCUUGAGGAUAUGUCAUCUACACUUGCAUCUAAAUCAAUAGAUGGGGAUCUACGAGAAUCGUGAGUAGAUGUCUCAUUUUCUACUUGCUUUGCAAAUGCACCCAACAAAGAAGGUGUCUCAAAUGGCACAUCAUGAAACUCCAGCUGCAUCUGUUGUUGAAUGGAUAGAUCAACAAAUUCUCUAGCAUUUGUAGACAAAGACAUACUUUCAGAGGCAUUUUUUGAUCUAGGUCACGAUUUUGAAUGCUUCCUUUUAACCAUCAUUCUUGCAACAUUUAUAAUGUUAAAAGUCAGACACAAAUCCAUUAGAUAUAAAAUUGAAACAAAGUAUAGAAACCAUCAAUUACAACAAUGAAAAGUAUGAUUAUUCAUUGGUACAAUAAAAUUGACAUUAUAUAGUAUUAAUCUCAACAUUUAUAAAUAUAAACUUAGAUUAAAUUUCACACACAGUCAAGAUCUUUUAAUAUUAUAAAAUUAACAAAUAUACAACAUGUAACAAAAAAUAUCAAACCAAUAUCAUAUAUGCCAACCAUCAUCAUUCACUUUCAGAAUAAUCAAAUUCAUGUUCUUCAUUAUUAUCACUAUCAUCACUCAAAGUUUCAGAAGCGUUGUCUUCAAGUUCAUCUUCUUUUUCAUCGUCAUCUUCAUUUUCAUCUCUUUCCAUGUCAUCUUCUUCAUCUUCAUCUCUUUGCAUGUCAUCGUCUUCAUCCUCAAUCAAGAGAUUAACCUCAUCAUAAUCACCAUUUGCUAAGACUGUCAAGUUAUCAAGUUCUUCCGAUGGAGUAGCAUUCAUUGAAAUAGACACGUCUUCUUGGUAUACUUCUUCAUUCAAAUCAAUUUCAUUUUCUCUAUCUCCACUACUAAGAAUGUUAUAUCUACUCCUAGCUUUUGUUUUAAAUAUUGUCCACCAAUCACAUCGAUCUCUUUUCCGUGAUGGAUAACUACUAUAAUAAACUUGGUGAGCUUGUGCUGCUAAAACAAAUGGUUCAUUAUUGGCAAGUAUUGAGUUGCAUUUAAUUUCAACAAGACCAUGCAAAGGAUCUACCUUAUUACCUUUUUUAGUGUCAAACCAAUGACACUUAAAUAGCACAACUCUGUUUUCGAUUUUAAAAUACUUCAACUCAAUUAUAUCCACUAAAAUACCAUAAAAGUCACGCUCAUAAUCAUUGUAAAAACUCCCUUUUAUGCAAACCCCACUAUUCAUUGUCUUACGAUUUUGCCCGUAAUCUAGGGUGUGAAAUUUGAAACCAUUUACAAAGUAUCCUUUGUAACACCUUAUCAUACGUCCUGGACCAUGAGCAAUUUCAAGUAUACGUGGGUUAAUUUCAUUUGUAUGUGUUGCAACCUACAAACAUGACAUACAAGAUCAAAAUUAAUAAUUACAUAAUUAAUGCGUCAAUAUUAUUAAAAAUUCACUUAUAAUUUACAUAAACUUACAUAAUUUUUAAACCAUUUAACGAAUCUUGCAUCACACACUUUCUCCAAUUCAUCUUCCGAUAUAUGCACAACAUCUCCCUUGAUAAUAUCAUCAAACAUUCUAUCAUCAUAUCCACAAUUUAGUGAUUAAAUUCAUUCUUAUAAUUCAAGUUUGGAUUAGUAUUUUAUGAUUAAAAAAUUAAAUAAUUAUGUAGGAAAGGAAUUACUAUUUUUUUAAAGUAAGGACUUUUGAUAUGUUUUUUUACUUAAUCUGAAAAAAAUAUUAUAUAAAAAGGAAAAUAGUAAAUUUUAUAGAACACAAAAAUUGUAAAUUUUUUAAAAUUUUUAUAUUUAAUUGUCAAUAUUUUAUUAUUUUAUUUGAUUUAUAUCUUCUUCAAUUUAAAACAGCUCUCUAUUAUAAGUGACCAAUUAAUGUCAUUACUUGACCAAUGUUUUGUUAUUGUAUUUGCUUUUAUUUUAUUUGAUUAAUUUGAUAAUUAGUUUAUGGUUUCUAUUCCUUCUUUAUUUUUAAUUAUUAUUUUGUAAAAAAAAUGUUAAUUAUAAACGUAACUUAUUUCUUGUUAACCAAGAUAUAUUAUCAGACUUAACAUAUGAUAGUUGCCCCUAUCAUCCAUUAACUUACCUAGUUAUGCUCAAUCCCUUAGCAAAAUGUAAAAUAGAAUUAUUUUUUAAUUUUGAUUUAUGAUUAUGGUUUGUAAAUAUAUCCAAAUUACUCAUUUGUAUUUUUUUUUCUUUUGAGUUGGAACUAUAAAUUAAGGAAAAAUACAAAUUAUAUAAGCUUAGGAUUAUGGUCUAUAAAUAUAUUCAAGUUAUUUAUUUGUAAAUUUUCCUUUUGUCUUUUUUUUUUUUGAGUUGAGGAGCAUAGUUACCACAUUAAAUAUUAUAUCAGCUGAAUAAAGAUAAUUUAAUUAAAUAGAGAAAAUUUUAUGUAAAACGGUUCUAGCACCAAUAAAAAUCUUUCAAUAUAAACCCUAAAUAUUUUUACAUGGUAGUCAACUUCUUCUAAGAGAUUAAGAUAUGUGAUUUCUUUUGUUUUUUAUCUUUAGAGCUUAUUUUGUAUGAGCACAUACCAAGACAAAUAUUAUAUCAAUUUAUUUGUAUAGAAGGUCUGUACAACUAUCUUCAAAUCCAAUGAUGGGUUAUAGGAAAUACUCAAAUUCAUUCCAGGUUGAUCAUAUGAAAGUUUGUCGUUUUUUUUUUUGUAAAUUUUUUUAAAAUUAGAUUUUGCUUAUAGUUAUCCAGCUAAAAAUUCAUUAAGUAAAUAGUUAAGAUAAUAAUGUAACAAAGAUAAAUAGCGUCACAUGCUAUUAGUUUAGAAUCUUUAAGAGGAAUUAUAGUCAUCAACAGUUUUGAAAUUCAUUCAUCAUCAAACUUCAAUUACAUAGCAUGUAUAUAGACUCAGCAACAAGAUUUACAGUCAAUUUACUUUUCAUUAUAAAUCUAAAUUGAUUUUUAAUUUUUUCAACUUAAUGACUAAAAUUAAAAUUACAAUGAACAAACAAUUUUAAAUCAAAUAAACCAUUUUCUACGUGAUUUAAUGAAAAAUUCAUUCUUAUCAUUAAUUUUAUUUUUAUAAAUAACAAUUUUCAUCAAUAAAAAUUAUUCAAAAAAAUGACAAUUUAAAAAUAUAAUGAAUAAAGAUUUCUACUUUCGAGAAUAAAAAAAUUUGCACCCAUAUUUACUAAGCUUAUUAAGAUGUUAAAGAUUAUUAAAAAGUAAUAUCUUUAUUUAAUCUAUAAUAAAUCAUAAAAUUAUGUAUCAACAACUGCAUUUUUUUAUAAUAAAAAAAUACUAACAAAUUGCCAGUAGAGGGAAGAGAUAUUUAGGGUUUUUGGUGAUCGAGCUUCAAGCCACCGGUGGAGGAGAAGGUGAGAGAGGAGUAGAAAGCGGCCAACGGAGGGAAGAGUUUAGAGAGAAGUCAGACGGUGGUUUUCAAUUAGUCAAGCACCUUCUUGAUCGGUGUUCGCCAUAUAAGCAACUUCCUUCUCAUGGAAACAAACGACAAUAUUUCUCACUAGUUAGCAAUAUCAACAGAAUUAAUCAACCCUCAACUUUAGAUUUAAGCCUUGAUAAGUCCAACAUGGUGUUUAAACUUUCGUUUUGAGGUACCUAUGACGCCCAACUUUAAAUUUAUCCCAAAAGAAUUUGAAGUCAAAUCCGAAUGAUAAAAUUUAAUUACAUAAAAAAUGAAGCAAUUAGCUACAGAUAAGAAGUAAAUAAAAUCAAUGCCUUCGUCAGAAUAGAAUUAGUACGUACCACUGAAGAGAAAGAGGUCAAACCAGGAGAAACAGCUCAAGGUUCAAAGUGCAAAAUGGGGUAAUCCUUGUACAAAAUCAGUUCUUAACAUUGGAAAGAGCCCACUUGUUUCGUCCAAUUAAGAGCCAACCGUCGUACAAAGUCAUUGUUUUUGCUUUUUCUUAUUGUUUGAAGUGACAAAAAAUCAUUGUUUUUUUAAAGAGGUUGUUAUAAAGCGACAAAGUAUCCUUGUCUAAAUAUGAUGUGCAUGUUCUAUAAGUAAGAUGCUAUUUGUAGAAAAUCACUUUAACCAACCACUCAUAUCUCACCCACAAAUUUAAUAUAUAUUAAUUUAUAGUUUCGCAAGGGAACAUUUUGUGUGUGUGUGUGUGUGGGAAAUCCAUGGACCACAUUGCAUUGUCAGGAAAAGGCAUCAUCUCAACACCCCUAGUUUCAGGACGGUAAAAGUUUCGAAAAAUGGCACAUGGAAUCCAAAUUUCAGAACUUGUGCAGGAUUCACCACCUACCAGGAAUACAAUGAAAUAUGUUAAAACCAUUCGUAACAUGUCAGGCAGAAAACUACGUUUGUAUUCUGCAGAUGCUAAAUGGAGGGUGCUGGGCGCAAUUUCCAUCUGGUUCUUAACUGCAGCCAUUCGGUAAUGGGCAGUAUAGCGACCAUCUACCAGAAUUCCCCCUGCAAUCAUGGGUUGUCUGCCGAAAAACUUCCCCACAAAAAAAAAAAUGAUAAGUGUUGGAAAAUUGAAUACUAUAUUUUUUUCAGCUUCAAGUGUUUGUUGUCAACUUACAACUCCUUCACAACAUCCUAACUGACAUUUUGUUGAACCGUGGCACAAACACCACCUGCCAUAGAUAAACCCUUUGCGUAAUGCAAAUGCUAAUUGUUUGAUAAUUAUGCAGAGAAAGAUGCAGAGCUGAACCACAAAACUCAUUGCAUUAAGGUAACACAAGGCACUGAAAAGGAAAGAAAAAUGAAAACCCAGAAAGAAAAAAUGGCCUUAAACCAAGGCUAAAGCACUCAUUCAUCCCCUGCCCUGGGACGAAUUCCAAGUCCAGUUCUUUUACUUGCACCCACUUCCAUCAAAUCUUCCACCUGUUCAAAUGAAAUUAUAAAAACAAAAUUAUAAAUGUUGAAGGUGAAAAUUUGAAAACACGGGAACCAAUAGUUCUACCUGUGGCAACGCUUGCUGUGGCCCAAUACCAGUGGCUAUUGACGCGGGUCCUAUCUCCAUCACCACCGCUCUCCUCCACCUCCAUGACUUGUCUCUUCCUUCUUCAGACUUUCACUGACUUUGCAGUUUGAUCCUUUUCCAAGCUGCUGCUCUUCGUACCGCUUCCUUGAUUGGAUUGGCCCGACUUGGGCCAGACUUGGUCAUGAUUUUUUAGACCCAGGCUCGACCAGCACAAUCCAAAAAUGUUUUUGUAAUAAUAAAUAUUAUAUUUUUAUUUAAUUAUAAAUUUAAAAUAGUAAUAAAAAUUUUUAUAUUUAAAAAUAAAUAUAACUUAAAUGGGUGAGUUCGGAUUUAAGUUUUUAAGAUGUCAAUCUCAUACGAUCAACUAUUUAUUUGUUAUUCUUUAUUUUAAUCAUGAGAAAUUUUCUUUUUCCUUAAAAGAUAGAAGUUUGAAAAAUCAUUUGAGAUCUUAGUUUUUUUUUUUAAUUUAACAUUUCAUGAAAAACUUUUUUAGUUGUCACAAGUUACACAUUUAAUGAAUUCACGAAUUAUUUUAAUACUUUAGUUUGAACAAAGGAAAGAAAGAAUAAUUAGUAAAAAAGGUUGUGGCCUUUGAAUAUAAAAAGAAAAAAGAAAGAGAAUGAGUCAUAGUCUUACUACCAGUUAGUUAUAUACAAGGAACAAGUCAAUCCCAUAAAAAUAUGACAAAAUCUAAUAGGCACACAAUUCUUCAUUAAUAGUAACAGUACAUUUUAUGAUAAGUGCAACAAAGCUUGAAAACAAAUUCUCUUUCCACUCAAAGUGGAAAGGCAAAUAAAUUUAAAAAAGUGCAAAAGAAACGCAAACUAACACAAAUAGAAAGAUUGAUUUCAUUUUUCUUUGAAUCGAAUACUACCAAUCAAGUAAGAGUAUUUAUUUUGUAGGCAUUGCUCGAUCCAAGAUUGCCAAUACGGUUUGAGUGAGAGUUAUUACCACUACGAUGAAAGCAGCAAAAGUAGCAGUUCCUCUCCAAAGAUUGUUGAAAUAGACAUGUUUCAAGGUUGUCCUUGUACGGUUCCAAGGAUUAUCAUAAUACUCGUUCAAAUCCUUUCCUAUUUUGUCAUAACACACACUAAGGUUUACAACACCCGUCAUGAGAUUGUUGAUCAUAUUUGCCACAGCUGCAUUGCUUCCCAUAUCAUUAACAAAAAUCCCCUCCUUUUCCAACAAAUCCACAUCUUUAUCUGUGUCAACAAGAUAGUCUAACAGUUGCAUAUAACUACAAAAAUAAGCCUCCCCGGAAUAGUGACAUUGUUCGAAGGCAAUCAGGUUUCUAAUCCAAAUUUCACUGUGGUCGUUCCAAUAAAAAUAUGGGAUUUUUAGCACUCCUUUUGCAAAUUUUACGUACAAGUCACUCACAUCAACGUUAUCUUUAAUAGCUUCAAACUUAACACCAGCCUCAUGCAACAUCGUUGCGCUGUAUAUGUUGUCGAUACACUCAAUUGAGUUUGAAGGACAAGUUCUCACUAGAACGCUUCUAGUUAAAUCUAUAAAGUGUUUAAUCCCCUUUUUGUUGAUUAAAUGAUCUUCGUUUUCGUUGAGGAACAAGCAAGCAAGGUGGGGAAAAGAGGGUUUACCAGAGGUAGCAAAAGCUAGGUUAUAUAGAGCUUCAAGGAUAAAGAACGGGAGUUGAUUUUCAAGUAAUAACAAAUCCAAUUCUAGUUCAACUCUUAACCAUACCUUAUUGACUAAGAAGUCGAUGACUUCUUUUUCAGAGUUCCUCAAGAACAACUCAAUGAGAAAAACUGCGUCAAAUAAUAUUAUCUUCACAAACUUGGAAACCGCCAACUCAGUGUCCAAGACAAAUUCGACAUCAUAACACCUGCAUAUAUCUCUUACUCGCGCUUUGAUGAAACUGGCAAAUUGUUCCAAUGUGUUUUCGGAAGUCCUUUGACAAAAUUUGUCGUAAUAUCUCUCCUUUUGCCUCUCCAUUCGAGCCAAAUUUUUGUUACCAUGAUGAAUAGGCCCUAUUGAAAUCAACCGCGGAGUGAAGGCUUUUUGGUUUGCUUCACGAAAACGACUAGGGACCUUGUAAAUACAACAAUCAGGCGCAAGCUCAAAGUCUUCUUCAGGGAUACCAAUUUCCAAAUAUUGGGGUUGGUGGUUGUUCUCAAUAAGUGCAGCAACUUCUUGUUCGGUGUUUGCUGCCAUAUAUGCAACUUCCUUCUCAUGUAAACAAACGACAAUUAAACCAGUGAGCAAUAGCAAUAAAAUUAAUCAAGCCACACGUUUAGAUUAAAGCCUUAUCAAGCCACAACUUUAGAUUUACCCCGAAAAAUCAUAGGGUUAGAUUCAGAUAAAGGAACUUAAUUUCAUCAAAAGUGAAACUAUUAACUAAAAAUAAAAAGUAAAUAAAUUCAAAACCCUCAUAAGAAUAGAAAUACAUACCUCUGAUGCUGAAGAAAAGGAUCAAACCAGCAGAAACAGCUCAAGGUUCAAAGUGCGAGAUGAACCAACUUGGUUUCGUUAUUGAAUACAACUGGUUCCGGUAAGUCUUGGCGAGAGUAAUGAGCAAAGUUCUCUCACAUUUAUAGAGGAAAAUGCCCACCUUGUUUCUUAAGUCCUAUCCUUGGAUUGCACAAGUCGUCUACGAGUCAAUUUUUCGUACAAAAACUUAUUGCUCGCUAGUUGUUAGUUGUCAAGUCUGUGGCUUUGGAUGCGGGUCCAAUCUUCAUUUUGGCUGGAGAUUGGUAAAGAGGCAAUCACAAAUCAAAGUUUCAACAUGAGAGAUCUAGGACUCAACAAUCUUUUCUUUUGUUGAAGGGAAGCCUGCUCUGUGGAGUGGUUAUCUCAGAAAAACACACAAAAUUUCGAUAUGACAAAUGUGGGGCUGCGUAUGCUUUUACCCUUGGUCUUUGUGGCCAGGUACAUUGAAUUUAAGGCAUGUAGUUCCUGGAAUAAUUCAAUUAUGAAAUGAUCAACCAGCUGGUCCCCUGGUCAACAAAAAUGGGUUGGGAUUGAAUGAAAGAAAUUGUUUUUCCACAUGUUUUGAUGAUGCGAGGGUGGAAGAACCCCUCCUGUUAGGCUAGUAUUAAUUCGCAUGGAGAGACAAGUGUAGAUAGAAUUUGGGUAGGACCCAUGCUUUCACUCAGCCAGGUCUAGCGAGUCCCACAGACGAUUGUGAUUCACGGGUGCAUGGGACUGAUCCAGGAUGGAGAUAGGACGCGCAUCCAAAGCCACGGACCUGACAACUAACAACUAGCAAGCAAUAAUUUUUUGUACGAAAGAUGGACUCGUGACAACUCGUUCGAUCCAAGGAUGGUACUUAAGAUAAAAGGAGGGCAUAAUCCUGUAUUACAUUUGAGAGAACUUUGCUCACUACUCUCGUCAAGACUUAAAGCAUGUCUAUUUCAGCAAUUUUGGAAAAGGAACUACAACUGUUGCUGCUUUCAUCGUGGUGGUACUGACUCUCAAACCAUACAGACAAUCUUAGCUCAAGCAAAGCCCAUAAAAUAAAAUACUCUUACUUGUUUUUAGUUUUCUAUUCAAUUAAAGUGAAAAUUGUUGAAAGGUAAUUCAUUGUAACACCCCGUAUGAAGGAAGGAAAGGUAGGAGCCGGCUGAAGGCAAAAAUAAAAGAAGGGGAAGAAUGAAAUGGGGGCUGGCCACGUGGAACAAAGGGAAGAAGGAAAAGAAAAAAAACGGUAGGGGGCCGGUCAAAGAAGAAAAUAAAGAAGAAGGAAAGAAUAAAAAAAAAAAAAGAGAAGAGCUGCAAAAGAGAAAGAGUCGGCUAUGAGGGAGUGAAAAAAAAAACAUUCAACCAAAAAUCGAGAAGAGAAAGAAAGAAGAAAGGAGAAAGGAAAGAAAGGAGAAGGAGGGAAAGAGAAAGAAGAAAGGAAAGAAAAAGAGAGAAUGAAGAUCGGCUGGAGGAGAAGGAAAAGAGAGGGAGAAGGCUGGCCGGAGGAGAAGAGAGAGAAGGAAGGUCCAUCGGCUGGAAAAGGAGAGAGAAGGAAGGAAAAGAAAGGAAAAAGGGAGAGAAGAAAGGUACGAUGUCGGUAGGGAAGAGGAAGAAGAAAGAAAAAACAAAAGAAAAAAGGUGCAGCCGACCAAGAAAGAGAGAGGAAAAAAAAGAAUAGAGAAAAGAAAAAAAAAAUAGUGGGCAUAACCCAAUAAGGAGAAGUGGAAAGAGCCCAUGAGAAAGGCCCAAUAGUAACAAGAAAGGAGGCCCAAUGGCAACAAGAAAGGGUAAGCCCAAAAGAGAAGAAAGGUGGAGACUUGGGCUUAGGCCAAUUUAACCCUAAUAGGAAGCACUAAAGUAAAGAUAGUGCACUAUAGUGGCGUGUCGGAGGAAGUGAUGAGCGAUCGGUAAAUAGAAAUAGCGAUGUAGUGUCUUGUUAUUGUGAGGUGAGUAGGUGCUAAAUUUCAAAAAUUAUAUCCUGAUAAAUAUGUUAUAUAUGUUAUAUUUGAUGGUUGACGAAAUUAUGGAAAGCAUGAGUUGGUAGAAAGUCUUAGGUUGUUUGUGAUUGCAAUCAAGGAUUUUAAAUUCAUUUUUUUUAUACUAUACAUAAGUAAAUAUCUACAAGGUUUUAAUUACGAGAAAACAAACCUUUCAAUGGCUUUCGCUUCAAAAUUAUAUCUUGCAAGCUUGUGUAAUGUUUGGACCAAUGAUCAUUAUUUGAUUCAUGGGAUUUGAUAAAAAAAAAUUAUUAUUGAUUUCACUUAACAUGCUGAUUUGAUGGGUAUACCAUGCUUUGAAAUAAAUUAUGCAUUAAAUUGCAAUGAUUUCCAUUUUAACGUGAUUGAGAUAUUCUGAGUAGGUAAAGGGGGACCUGAAGCCUCGAUUUAUAUAUGGUGGCGUGGGCAGUUCUCACGAGUAGGUAAAUGGAGACUUGAAGUCCUGAUUAUAUAUGGUGGCGUGGGUAAUUCUCACGAGUAGGUAAAGGGGAACUUGAAGCCCCGAUUUAUAUGGUGACGUGGGCAAUUCCCACGAGUAGGUAAAGGGGGACCUGAAGCCCCAAUUCAUAUGGUGACGUAGGCAGUUCCCAUGAGUAGGUGAUGAUAUCUGAGAGAGUAAGCCUAAGGAUGAUGCUCACUUGUGAAUUUUUAUUAUACAAUGCAUGGCAUUAACACUUGAAAAAUUUUAUUAAAUGGCAAGUGAAAUUUACAUAUUCAUCGGUGAUCGGUUAUUUCUCAUUUUUAUAUUUGAGACAUUUCAUUUACACUUGCCAUUGAAUUUAUUAUUGAUUGGUUAUUGAAGUUGAAAGAUUUUUUAAUACUUUAGAUACAACCGUUUUAAUAUUUGUUUAUUGGUGAUUUAUUACUUUUAAGACUUGUAAGGUAUAAAAACAAAAUCUCACAGUUUAAUGGAAUGUGUUUCUUACACUUACUCUUGGAUUUAUAAACAUUCAACCUUUCUGUUUGUUUCCCCUUCUCACUUGCUCACGAGGUCGAUGAUGAUCACUGAGUCUAUGAGACUCACACCCCUUUUAUUUCUCCUUUUUCAGGCAAGGAUCAGCCUAGUGUGUAUUCAUCAGCGUAUUCAGUCUAUUGAGAAUAGAUAAAGGCAUCUCUUAGCUCGCUCCACUGUCUAGGGUUAAGUUACAUAAGAUUUUUAGAUGUUGUGAAUUAUUGUAAUUCAUGGAUAUGUAUUGUUAAAAACUUAGUGGUUGACAUUUAAUUGUUAUAAUUUAAAAAGAAAUAUCAGUAGUACGACUAUUAUUAUUAAUCGCUUAUGCACAUGAGAGCAUUUUUAAUAAAUGUCUUUGAGAAUUUCAUAGAGAUUUGUUCGGGACUUGGCAGGGUCUCCCGUAGGUCUCGGACGUCAGUAGCGACCGAAGUUUGGUCGUUACAUUCAUAUUCUGACAGUGAUAGCAUGUGAAGAACAAGAGAAGAGCUUCAACUUUUUAGUGCAAAACAAUGACGUUUAUUCAUCAGCAAUUAUAAGUUUUCAAAGUGUGUCAUUUUACUCUUUAUGUUUUAAGUUGGUUGUACUCAAAACGAUGUUGCUCAUAUCGUUUUUUAGCUAAGUUUAGUUAAGUCCUAUACGCUUCAUUUUAGUGUCAUUUUUUAGUCUGUUUUAAGGCUUAACAGCCAUGGUUUUCUAUUUCAAUUUUUUACCGUUGAGGGAUCAUUGAUUUGUGUGUAGUUUGUUGUUGUGAUCCGAUUUAUCAAGAAAUGUUUUUGAAUUGUUUGAAUAUAUAUACUUGAAAUAAAAUGAAAUUUACACUUCUUCCCAGUAAGAAAUUUUCAGUUCACAUUCUCUGGAAUUCUUAGUUCUUUAGACUUCUCAGACUUCUCUAUUUUUUAAGCUUUGUUUUUCAUUGCUUAGCUUUGCAGCUUAGCUUUUAAUUUUCUUCAAUUGGUAUCAGAGCUCUCAGUGAUCUUAAGGGCUUAGGAUUUGAUCAGUUUUUGUAAAUAUGAGCUAUGGAUUCAAUGCAUCAGCUCCAUCAAAGUUCACCGGAGAGAACUAUUCAUUCUGGAGUGUGAAAAUGGAGGCUUAUCUCAGAGCCUUCAUGUUGUGGGAAGCAGUGGAGACUGAUGAGGAACCAGUGCAAAGGAGAGCUAAUCCGAUGAUAGCUCAGAUCAAGCAAUUUGAGGAAGACAAAGCCAAAAGGUACAAAGCUCUGUCUUGCCUUCACUCAGCUUUAUUUGAUGAAAGUUUUGCUCAGGUUAUGCAUUUGAAAUCUCUUAAGCAAGUUUGGGAUUAUUUGAGAGGAGUUUUUUGGGAGUGAAAGAACUAGGCAGAUUCAAGCAUUUAAUCUUACUCAGAAAUUUGAAAUGUUAAGAAUAGAGGACAGUGAAAACAUAAGAGAAUUUUCUAGAAAGAUGAUGGGAUUAGUGAACCAAUUGAGGCUACUAGGGAAGGAGGUUACAGAAGAGAGACUGGUAAGCAAAAUGUUAAUGAGUUUACUUGAGAAAUAUGAGACUAAGGUGUCCUCAUUAGAAGAUUCCAAGGAUCUAGCUCAGAUUACUUUUAAGGAGUUAGUUCAUGCUUUGGAAGGUCUGGAACAAAAAAGGGCUUUCAAACAAAAGAGUGCAUCAAAUUUUGCCUUAGUAGCUAAAGCUAAAAAUGUGAAAAUGAGAGGUAAUGGCUUGAAGGACAGUUCAAUUGAUAAGAAAAACAAAGGAAGGAAGAGUGGAGAUACUCAACAGGGGGAUCAGAAGAGGGAAUUUCCACCAUGCAAGCAUUGUAAGAAGACUAGUCAUACUGAAAAAUAUUACUGGUUCAGGCCCAAUGUUAAAUGCAGGGCUUGCAAUCAACAGGGUCAUGUGGAAAAGAUAUGUAAAAAUUGGGCUGAAGCACCUGAGAAAGCUGCUGUUGUAGAGCAUACAGAUGGAGAUGCUGAUAAAGUUCUCUUUAUGGCUACAAUUGAUGAAAAUUCAAGCAAUGUAACAGCUGGUGAGAAUUCAAGAAGAUCUAAUGUUUGGCUUUUGGACAGUGCUUGCUCCCAUCACUUGACAAGUAAUAAAUCUCUUUUCUCUACCCUUGACAAAAGCUUUAAGUCAAAGGUUAAGAUAGGAGAUGGAAAUUAUCUGGAUAUUUUAGGAGUAGGAACUGUUGACAUUGAAACUACUUCAGGCAGAACAAGUAUAUCUACUGUGCACUAUGUUCAUACUGCUGAUCAUAAUCUGUUGAGUGUGGGACAAUUAGCUAAUGAGCAUUACCGUAUUUUGUUUAAGGGUGAUAGUUGUAUAGUUUUUGAUUCUCAGGGUAAAGAAUUGAUUAUAGUGUCUAUGAAAAACAAUUGCUAUCCUCUGAAUUUGGCUAAUGCUGCUCACUUAGCUUUAUAUAAUGAACUUGAUGUGUCUGAAGUAUGGCAUCAAAGGAUUGGCCAUGUUAAUUACAAUACUUUGACUCUGAUGUCUUUCAGAAACUUGGUGAAAAGAUUGCCUGUUAUUUUAAAACCGAAUAAGAUAUGUCAGACUUGUCAGUUUGGUAAACAAACAAGAAAAUCAUUUCCUAUAGAAAGUAGAUGGAAGGCUACCAAGAAGUUGGAAUUGGUACAUACUGAUUUGCGUGGUCCCAUGAAGACUGCUUCACUUAAUGGAAGCAGAUACUACAUCAUCUUUAUUGAUGAUUAUUCAAAGUUUUGCUGGAUAUUCUUCUUGAAGCAGAAGUCUGAAGCUUUGAGUUAUUUCAAGAAAUUCAAAGUUGUUGCUGAAAAUUUUUCAAGACAAAGUGUAAGAACCUUGAGGACUGAUAAUGGUAAGGAGUAUACAUCUACUGAAUUUGAGCAAUAUCUGGAGUCCUGUGGAAUACAACAUCAGUUAACUAUUCCAUAUAGUCCUCAGCAGAAUGGGAAAGCUGAAAAAAUGAAUAAAACCUUGGCAGAGAUGGGGAGGUGCUUGUUGUACCAGAUAAAGUUGCUAGGGGUAGUUUGGGUAGAAGCUGUGAAUACAGCUAACUAUCUUUUAAACGGAGUUUAUAUAAGAGCUCUGGAUAGCAAAACACCUUAUGAAAUGUGGUUUGAUCAUAAACUAGAUGUUUCCCAUUUAAAAAUAUUUGGCUGCAUUUGCUAUGCUACGAUAUCAGAUGUUAAGAGGACUAAGUUUGAUCCAAAAUCUGUGGCAGCAGUUCUGGUUGGCUACAGUGAAGUCUCCACAGGCUAUCGAUUGUUUGAUCCUGAAUUAAAAAAUAUUUUUGUAAGUAGGGAUGUGAUAUUUGAUGAAGGGCAAAGUUGGAAUUGGCCUAAUAGUGGUGCUGGACAGGUUGAUUUCACCAAAACAGCUAAUGUAGAUGCUCAACGGACUGUAGUUGAUGAUGAUUCUGAUCUGGAGGAUGAAAGUAAAGCAAUUAGAUGUACAAGAAGCUUAGCUGACAUUUAUAGCAUAUGCAAUAUUACAGUAACUGAACCAGCAACUUUCAAGUAAGCUUAGCUUGAUAACAAUUGGAAGUCAGCUAUGGAUGCUGAAAAUGGAAAUGAUAUCCAAGAAUAGGACAUGGACUCUUGUUGACAGACCAGUUGACAAAAACAUCAUAGAAGUGAAGUGGAUUUACAGAACCAAAUUUAAUCCAGAUGGUUUUAUAAAUAAGUAUAAGGCUCGGUUGGUGGUCAAAGGGUAUGCUCAAGUUUAUGGGGUUGACUACAUGGAAACAUAUGCUCCAGUAGCCAGACAUGACACUAUAAGGAUGUUUGCUGCCUUGUCAUCCAGGGAAGGAUGGACAAUUUAUCAUCUGGAUGUCAAAUCGGCCUUCCUUAAUGGCAUUCUUACUGAAGACAUUUAUAUUGAGCAGCUUGAAGGUUAUGUGCAGCAGGGGUCUGAGAUGAAGGUAUGCAAGCUUAUUAAGGCACUGUAUGGCUUGAAACAGGCUCCAAGAGCCUGGUACACCAGAAUUGAUGAAUACUUCAAGAAUUAGGGGUUUAUGAGGAGCAUCAAUGAAUCCACUUUGUAUGCGAAGCAUGAGCAUAAUACUGUGGAACUUAUAGUAGCAUUAUAUGUGGAUGAUCUUUUGGUUACUAGACCAGAAAACAAGUAUGUGUCUGAAUUAAAAUCUUGAAUGAAGGAAGAAUUUGAUAUGACUGACUUGGGAGUUAUGACUUAUUUUCUUGGCAUGGAAGUGAGGCAAACUACUGGUAAAGUCAUACUUGAUCAAGGUAAAUAUGCUCAGGAUUUAUUAAAGAAGUUUAAUAUGAGCAUGUGCAAGGCAGUAAAUACUCCAUUGUGCAUUGGUGCUAAAUUUAGUGUAGCAGAUGGUGCUGAGAAUUCUAAUGGACAGUUAUAUAGAAGCAUUAUUGGUUCUUUACUCUAUUUGGCAGCUACCAAGCUAGAUAUAAUGUUUGCAACAAGCUUGCUGCCAAGGUUCAUGCAAAAUCCUUCAGAAGUACACCUUGCUGCAGCUAAAAGGAUUCUAAGAUAUGUUAGAGGGACUGUGAAUUAUGGACUGGUGUACAUGAAGUAGGAGAGUAGUCAGCUGAUAGGUUUUUCUGAUAGUGACUGGGCAGGUUCAUUGGAUGAUUCUAAGAGCACAUGAGGUUUUUGUUUCUCAUUUGGAAGUGUUGUGUUUGCUUGGAGUUCCAAGAAACAGCCAAUGGUAGCUCAAUCAACAGCAGAAGCAGAAUACAUGGCAUGUGCAGCUGCUACCAAUCAUGCUUUAUGGUUGAGGAAGCUAUUAGAUGAGCUAGGGUUUAAGCAAGAAAAAAGAACACUGAUUAAUGUUGACAACUUGUCAGCAAUUGCUAUAUCGAAGAAUCCUGUUCAACAUGGGAGAACUAAGCACAUUAGAGUUAAGUACCAUGCUCUUAGAAAAGUUGUAAAAGAGGGAGAGAUUGAAUUGAUUCAUUGCUCAACAAGUGAUCAGCUUGCUGAUAUAUUCACUAAGAGUUUGGGAAGAGAGAGAUUUGAAUGUUUGAGACAAUGUCUUGGUGUUCAUCAGAUUAUGAAUUAAGGGGUUGUGUUGAAAGGUAAUUCAUACUCUGACAGUGAUAGCAUGUGAAGAACAAGAGAAGAGCUUCAGCUUUUUAGUGCAAAACGAUGACGUUUAUUCAUCAGCAAUUAUAAGUUUCCAAAGUGUGCCGUUUUACUCUUUUAUGUUUUAAGUUGGCUGUACUCAAAAUGAUCUUGCUCAUGUCAUUUUUUAGCUAAGUUUAGUUAAGUCCUAUAUGCUUCAUUUUAGUGUCGUUUUUGAGUUUGUUUUAAGGCUUAACAACCAUGGUUUUCUGUUUCAAUUUUUUACCGUUGAGGGAUCAUUGGUUUGUGUGUAGUUUGUUGCUGUGAUCCGAUUUAUCAAGAAAUGUUUUUGAAUUGUUAGAAUAUAUAUACUGGAAAUGAAAUGAAAUUUACACUUCUUCCCAGUAAGAAAUUUUCGGUUCACAUUCUCUGGAAUUCUUGAUUCUUCAGACUUCUCAGACUUCUUUGUUUUUUAAGCUUUGUUUUUCGUUGCUUAGCUUUGCAACUUAGCUUUUAAUUUUCUUCAAAAAUCAACCUUUUCAUGUGUGUUAAUUUGUGUGUAAGUCACAUUUUUAAGUUCAUUUACCUUACCACUUUGAGCAGAAGGAGAGUUUGUUUUCAAACUUCGUAGCUUUUAUCAUAUUCGGCUAUUAUCGAUGAACAAUUGUGUGCCUAUUAGAUUUUAUCAUAUAUUUAUGGGAUUGGCUUGUUUCUUGUAUGUGGCUAUUGUCACUCUUCUUUUAAAUUUUUUUCUUUUUCAAUUAAAAAAAUCACAACUUUCCUUACUAAUUAUUCCUAUUUUCUUCAGUUAAAGUAUUAAAAUUAACAAUUAAGAAACUUUUACACGAAAUGUUAAAAUAGAAAAAAAAAAAAAAAAGAAGAAAACAACGUCAUACUCUGCGUGGUGCAUAAACAUUUGUCUGCUACAUUUUUUUCUUCAAGCUUUCUACUCUUUGAAGCUAAGGUUGUAUCACUGUGAUAAUGGUUUCUUCUGCAGUGAUAUUCUGAUGAUUCAAGUUUACAUCAAUGUAUAGUUUAGUUCUAGCUUGCAUAUUGAAAUGUAGGACAUGUAAUAUAGUUUAAUUAGUUUCCUCUGCUGCAAAGUCCUCUUUGGCACUUAAAGACCAGAGAUGAACCAAGGGUGGAGGGUUGUGUGUUUAUGGAGCUGUAACCUCUCCAAAAAUUUAAAAAUGUUGUAUAUAUUAUAUAUUUUUUGUCUUUUUUUUAAGGGUAUAUAUUUUUUUAUCUGAAUGCCUUCUCGAAAAUUUUUAAUCUUUAUUCUUUUUGUAAUUUUAACCCCCAACAAAAGUUGAUUAACUCUACCCCUGAAGUAUAGUACGAAAACUUAAAUUCGCAACUUCUUCCUCUGUUUUUCUUUUGUAUUCGCAGCCUCUUUGCAUCCUUAUCCGCAUAAUAUCAAACAAUUAGCAUUUGCAUUACGCAAAGGGCUUACAUAUGGCAGGUGGUGUUUGGGCCACAGUUCAACAAAAUCUCAGUUAGGAUUUUUGUGAAGGAGUUUUGAUUCUGCUGGAGAAGGUGAGUUAAUCUGAACAAUCAAGUAGGUAUACUUCCAUUUGUGGUCUGUUUUGUCCUUGAACAUUUCGGUAAAAACUUUCCCAGCUCCAUGUGGUCCACGAAUAUAGAAAUUAACCUGUCUAGAAUUGGUAAAGAAGCAAUCACAAAUCAAAGUUUCAACAUGAGAGAUCUAGGACUCAACAAUCUUUUCUUAUGUUGAAGGGAAGCCUGCUCUGUGGAGUGGUUAUCUCAGAAAAACCCUACAAAAAUUUGCUAUGAAAAAUGUGCGCCUGCAUAUGCUUUUACCCUUGGCCUUUGUGGCAAGGUACAUUGAAUUUUAGGCACGUAGUUCCUGAAGUAAUUCAAUUAUUCAAUGAUCAACCAGCUGCUCCCAUUAUUCAAUUAUUCAAUAUAUCAAAACUUAAAUUCUUGGUGUUGCAGUUUUGUAGGAACCGAGAGUAAUGAACAAGGUUCUCUCAUAUCUAGCAACGGAAAACGCCAACCUUGUUUCUGCAAGUCUUAUCCUUUGAUUGCACAAGUCUUCUAAUUAGAAGUCAACCCUAAACUAUUAUUUAGUUUAGAUUGCACAUCUUCAUUAAUAGUUAGCAGUUUGUAGUUACAUGCAACUUAGAAACUUUAUUGCUCGCAUUAAUCUAGAAUAUUGAAUGCUAGCGAGGUCUCUUUCUAAGGAGGAAUACCAUAUGCUCAUUGUUCUCUUUACCAUAAAAUAUUAUUCAUUAAUAAGGGUCAAUCUUGCAAGGAAAAUAUUAUUUUUCGGCUCCUUCUCAGUUCGCAUUAUGAGGUAGUACAUUAUUCUAUUUCUUUGGUGUAGGUAAAUAUAAGGGUGACUAACAGGCAAUAUUUUUAACAAAUUAAAAACUAAUGAAAAAUGUUUGAAUUUUAAUUUAGAAUUCUUGACAUUCUCUCUUUUCACACUAAAAAAGACUUUCAUUGAAGAAUGACAACGUUUCUCUUUGUUUUUCAUUUGUGGAUCUCACAACAUUUUUUGAAAGUAAUUAAGAGACAUUGAAGAAAUGAAUUAAAGUAGUGCAAAAUUGUCACAGUAUCUAUAUUAAGAAAAUAGGAAAGUAAGGUCUUUGAAAAUCAAUGGCAAUGUGUUUUUAGAGUACUUAACUUGGGCACGAGUCAUGACAAAUAUGUUCGAGCGUUUUCAUCACCAACAACUUUGGGAUAGCCACUAUCAGAGAAGAAUGGGUAGUAAGUCAAGAAUAUUACUAUAAUCGUUGCCAAAGCUAGCUUAAAGGUUAUGAAAUAUGAACACUUUCUAUCCCUUGAGGUCACCUCAACAUUCUUAAAUGGUCCCACGAUUACUCAUUUAUCCUUAAGAAAUAAGGUCCUGCAAUUGCCUAGUGUGCCUGCCACACACAAAAAAUCGCUUGUAUCCUAUUGAAAAGAAACUCUAAAUUCAACUAUUCUCUAACUCAUAUUUCUGUGAAAUACUUAAUUGACAAAAAUCAUAGUCAAACCUUUAGUAAUAUAAGGAAAGGGCAAAAGUUCUAUUUCUAUGUUUAUUAAGGUAAAAUACUUAAAACCCUUUAAGUUUUUAUCGAAAUUUCAAACAAAUCCAUUAGUUUUUAAAAUAGACACUGCAUGUCAAAAAAAUAUCUUCUACUAGACACAUAAGUCUAAUUGUUAGCCAACUAUUAGUGUUUAAGUUAAUUUGAUGAUAUGACAAUAUUGAAAAGAUAUUUUUUUUUUAUUAAUUUUAAAAAUUACUAUUAUAUUUUUUUUUUUUGCAAAAUAAAAAAUCAAGAUAGGGGAGCACUAGAUCCAUGCUUCCAAAGGUGCUCCCCUCCUUUGGGAACACCUGGUCAAUGCUCCAUUUUACCUUUGUUUUUUCUUUUUGCUUGAUGAUGCUUAUUAGUUGUUGCUUAAAUUUGAUGUAAAUCAUCAUUUAUGAGACAAUCAAGUCAAUGCUUACUUAGUUGUUUUUUUAAAAAGUAUCUUUUAUAUAUUAAAAAAAUUGAUAAUGAUAUAAAAAAAAAGACUUUUAACACAUUUGAAAUGGUUAACCAUGUUUAUGCAUAUCUUCUAUAUAUAUAUAUUAAAAAAACUGAUAAUAAUAUUAAAAGAAUCUUUAAAAGAUUUAUAAUCAUAUCCCUAAAGAAAAAGGAUUCUUCACAUUAUUAAAUUUGUUUAGCUGGGUUACUAAUGUUACAUGUCAAAGCUUAAAUCCAUCCUCUUGCAACCUAGAAUUCACGGGACCAAUUUCCCAACUCUAAAGACAUGCUUGAUAGAUGGUGAAAAACUCAUGUUUAUAUAUCAAAAACCCACUCAAUCUCUUAUUGAUGUGGGAUUUGUGACAUUUUAUCCUAUCUAAUUAUGCAACGCCCUCAUUGCACUGUUUUUUUACUCGUAGAGAAGAGAGACUCUUACACUAAUCUAAGUUUAACUCAACUCUUAUAUCUCUCAUGGGGAUCCCACAUCAAUUAAGAUCUAGGUCUCCUCUGAUAUCAAUUGUCAUAGGUCAAAAUUUAAGCUUAACUUCGUACGGUCUUAAAUUUUGAAAAUAGAAUUUAAAUAAACCUAUAAAUUACGAGUCCAAAAGGGAUUCUUACAUUAAUCCGGAUCUACCUCGACCCUUAUAUCUCACAUGGAAACCCCAUAUUAAUGAAGAUUCAGCUCUCCUCUGAUAUCAAAUGUCAUAGACCGGAACUUAAGCUAUAAAUUACGACCCCAAAAGGGACUCUUAUACUAAUCUGAGUCCACCUUGAUUCUUAUAUUUUUCAUGCGGAUCCCAUAUCAAUAAAGAUCUAGAUUUCCUUUUAUACCAAAUGUCAUAAAUCAGAACUUAAAUCUAAUCUCGUACGGUUUUAAACUUUAAAAAUAAAAUUUAAAUAAACUUAUAAAUUAAGAGCCCAUCACAACCAAUGUGAAGAAAAAGAAUUUUCCACGUUAUUAAAUUUGCUUAGUUGGGUCAUCAAUCAUAUUUUAAACUCAAACGCCCGCGGUGGGGCUCAAACAACGACCACAAAGAUUAAGAGCCUUGCGUUCUACCUACCAAGCUAGAUAGGUUGACGUCAUAAACCAAAGUCCUUGUUUGGUAACGUUUUUUAAUAAUGUUUGCAAAUAACAACUAGUGUAUUAAAAAAAAAGGUACAUACAUAUUGAGAUAUAGAAAUGUUGGAGGGAAAAUAAACUUUUUUUUGAAAAAAAAAAAAGGUCUAUGAUCUAACUAUAACUUAGGUGAGAGAGUCCGUAUCUAUUCAAUGAACCCUGACUGCUACUCUCGCUUGAAGCCUUUCAAUGAAGAGAUGUCCUUAAGUAUUUCCACCAUGUUCACUGCCACUUCCUCACUUGCCCUUCAACUACACAGAGUAAAUUAGAUGCUAGAAGUAUAUAUAGCAUCAUUAAUUUGAAAAUUGACAAACUUUAGUGUAAUUAUAUUGAAUUUAAUUGUUCUGCAAUAUUCUCUUACACAUUUUCCUCAUAGCUAGCUAUUUUACUUUUAGAUAUCAUGAAUAUCUACAAAUUACCAUCUGUUAAAAAUAUUAUAAUUGAAAAUUCUUAAAAUUAUUCUUGUUUUCUUUGUACUAGCAUAUAUGCCUUUACCGCUUUAUAGCUAAUACAUGUCAAUUUGUUAUAAUUAAUUUAAAUUUAAUCUUUAAAUCCUAUUAAAUCUUCUAUAUAUGAAAUAAUUAUUUUAUCAAAUUACACGUAAAACCGAACAAAGUGAGUCAAGAUAUGCAUAUUACUCAAACCUUUUAGGAUUAAUUUAUCAACAUAAAUCUGCAAUCCCAAAUCUUUCAUUAACAAUUUCCUUACUAUAUAUGCCUAUUGUGGUUAUGGAAUACCUUUUCAUGGGCUUGCUUGCGAUGGCGGUAUCCCUGAAUUCAAUUCAUGAAUUAGUGAAAAGAAGUCAGAUAUAUCAUAGGCAAAUGAACCAAAAUGUAAAUGUUAAUUAUAAUUUGUAUAUAUACAGACAGACCUUAUUAGUUCCAUAGAUAAAAUCACAGUAGGUAAAAACCGAAGCAAAAUUGCUCUGACUUUGUCCUCCAACAUAGUGAUGAUAAUCAUGGUACUUCGCACCAACGUAAAAUGGUAUGAAUUUGGUCGGACUCCAAGGAAACUCAAACCUUGUAUCAGUAUGGUUCAUAUAUAUGCACAAUACAAAAAGGAAGGAAAUUAAAGAGAACUCAGCUAUUACAAAAUUUAUACAGAAAUAUAAUUUUAUAAGAAUACUCAAUUCAUCUAUUUUAUAAAAGUACUCUGUUCUUCUUUAAAUAUUUGUCUCUUUUUGACUUUUGUCAAGAUUAGGAUCAAAUUUUGAUUUUGAUGUACUUAAUAUUACAAUUUGAAAAGCGUUUAGCAUAAAGCUUUUAAAAAAUCUUUGACCUAUUUAGAAAAUUUUAAAUAAUUUUCUUUUGUUAUUACGUUUGAUCAGAUUUAUGCAUUUCUAUUUUCAAUUAUAUAGACUCUUAUGAUUAAUAGUUAAUUAGUUGUCAUUAAUCAAAAUAUCACUUGUUAAUUUUUAUAUCAUGAAAAUAUGUUUAUUAUAUAAAAAAAAAGUAAAAAUACUAAGUGUCCUAAGAAAAGGAAAUACAUCAUUUCGAAACAUUCCAAAAAGAAAAUGAACAAAGAAAAAAAAGACAAAAGGAAUUAUAUAUUGUUCAAAUUUAUUUAAUGACACAAUAUUUCAAAAUAAUUAAAGUCAUAGUUCAAAAUAUUGGAUAAAAAAGUCAAAUUAAUGAAAUAUUUAUCAAAAGGAGGGUAUAAGCUAAGUAUCAAGUGGGUUAGUUAGUCUCCACCCAAUUAAAAUUUUUUUCAAUUACUUAUAUGAAAAUGUACAAUCAAUGAUAAAAUCACGUACAUAUGAAAGGGUGAUGAUGAAUUUAUGAAAAAAGUAAUGUCGACUUCGUAUAUAUUAUAUAAAUUUACCCGUUGUGUGCGUCGAUGGCCUCGACAAGGCGCAAACUGGUCCAAAGGUAGAGUGUGAUCAUGUGGCAUGGAACCAUGACCGGACCAAAAAAUGUUGGAAUACCGAAUAUCAAAAUUUCGGCCCAGUGGGUAUAAAGAGCUGUAAAUCCAAACGAAGCUCGGUAUUCAUGGUGCAUGUAGUGGAUUUUAUCGUAGCCCCAUUGGCUAUGGAGCAGCAGCCGAUGGAACCAGUAGCUGGCGUAGUCUUCGAAAAGGAAGUAAACCAACAAUUGACUUAAAACCUCCCACAACGACGGCAAUGGCAAGCUUGUAUGAAUCCCAACCCACUGCAUAAACACCCAGAAACGCAAAUGAACUUAAAAAAAAAAAAAAGAACAACAACAACGAGAAAGAUUCUGGCUUGGUACGAAAGCAAGCGUUGACUGUCCCAUGUCGCUUCAAUCUACAGUUCGUCAUACCUUAAUGGCAGGGAAGGAAACGAAUAGAAGAGGACACAACACAAAAGCAAACAUCUUCAUAACAUGUUUAUAACAAUUAAACAUGUCGGAGAAUGAUAUUUUUAUGUUGGGUUGAAUCUUGAACUCGGCCAUUCUCUUUGACUGACUCAGCUCCAUGAACGCACAGGGGAGAGGGACCAAGGAGAACACCACGAUCAUGAAAAGCGCAUUGUGACUAUAAAGGAGGAAGUCCGAUUUCUGAGCUGAAUAGUUGUACCACAGUCUCUCCGCCAGGGUUAGGUUUCUCCCUAGAGCCAACGCUGCUUCUUCAAGGGUUUGAUAUGGCAGCAUUUUGUUCUUUUUCACUUUCUUAACCUUGGCAAUACAACAGUAUAUGUAAGAUUGUAGCAAGAAAUUUUAUAUAUAGUGAGAGGAAGAAAGAGAGAUUGAAGGAACGGCUGGGGUGCUUUGAAGUUUAGACAAAAUCUAUGCUUAACAAUUCAAAGACGGUAAGCUCUUAAGGGAGUGCUCGAUCUCAGAAUUUACCACGAGAACUAUCACGAAGUUUUUUGGUAUGAUGAAAAACACUUGUUUGAUUUUAUUUUUUUUCUGGAUCGAAUAAAAAUUUUAUUUAAUAUCAAUAAAAAUUGACACUUAUCAUAACAUAUCAAAUAAAACAAAUUAUAAUAACAUUAAGUGAAACAAAGAAAUUACAAUCUUCUUAAAACAAUAAUUUUUUCGUUUUUGGGAUGAUGCUAUAUAUGGUAUGUUUUGAAAUUUUGAUGCCUCAUUGUCUGGACUUUUAAUUUAAAAAUUAUCACGUUUGAUUGCAAUAGGCCCGAUUCUAUUAAAAGAUCACAUCAGUAAAUAUUAGGAUAUUUUGAUUGCAAAAUUGCACGCUUUGGUCGGUUUUUUUCACUAGUUAGCAAUAGCAGUAGAAUUAAUCAAAGAUUUAAGCCUUAUUAAGUCCGACGGAGUGUUCAAACUUUAAUUUUGGGACACUUGUUAAGCCCCAACUUUAGAUUUAUUUUAAUAAAUACUUAAGGUCAGACAUAGAUGUAGCAACUUAAUUUCAUCAAAAGUGAAGUAAUUAGUUAAAGAUAAAAGUAAAGAAAAUCAAUACCGUCAUAAGAAUAUAAGUACGUACCACUGAUGUUGAAGAGGAGGAGGAUCAAGAGAAACAGCUCGAGGCUCAAAGUGCGAAAUGAACCAGCUUAGUUGGAUUAUUGAGUACAACAGAAUCCGGAAAUUCUUGGUGCUGACCGAAAGUAUUGAACAAGGUUCUCUCAAAUCUAGCAGAGGAAAGCGCCCCCCAUGUUUCUUUAAAUCUUGUCCUUUGAUUACACAAGUCUCCUAACUACCCUAAAUUAUUAUUUAGUUUAAAUUGUACAUCUUCAUAAUGCUUGGUAGUUAGUAGCUACAUGCAACUUAGAGACUUUAUUGCUCAGAUUAAUCUAGAAUAUUGAAUGCCAGUCAGGUCUCUUUCAAGGAGGAAUAUAUGCUCAUUGUUCUCUUUACCAUAAAAUAAAAUGUUAUUCAUUGAAAAGGGUCAAUUUUGCAAGGAAAAUAUUAUUUUUCGUCUCCUUCUAGUUCACAUUAUGAGGCAGUACAUUAUUCUAUUUCUUUGGUUUAGGUAAAUAUAAGGGUGACUAACAGCCAAUAUUUUUAACAAAUUAAAAACUAAUGAAAAAUGCUUGAAUUUUGAUUUAGAAUUUUUGACAUAAUUCUCUCUUUUCACACCAAAAAAGACUUUCAUUAAAGAAUGACAACGUUUCUCUUUAUUUUUUCAUUUGUGGAUCUCACAAUAUAUUUUGAAAGUAAUUAAGAGACAUCGAAGAAAUGGAUUCAAGUAGUGCAAAUUUGUCACAGUUUCUAUAUUAACAAAAGUAGGAAAGUAAGGUCUUAACGUAUGAUAAAUGAAUGGCAGAGACUAAGGUUCAUCUUUCUUAAGAAAAUGAAUGACAGAGACUGGGAGUAGCGUUAACUGCUUGAUAAUUACGCAGAUAAAGAUGCAGAGCUGAACCACAGUACUCAUUGCGUUAAGGUCAUAUCAGACACUGAAAAGGAAAGAAAAAUGAAAACCCAGAAAGCAAAAUGGGCUUAAACCAAGGGUAAUAAAACUCAUUCAUCCCCUACCCUUGGACGAAUUCCAGGUCCUGUUCUUAUACUUGCACCCACUUCCGUCAAAUCUUCCACCUGUUCAAAUGAAAUUAUAAAAACAAAAUUAAAACGUUUAGAUUGCACAUGUCUCUAUUAAUAUAUUAUAUUUUUAUUUAAUUUUAAUUAUAAAAUAUAUUUAAAAAUAUUAAUAUAAAAUUAUUUUUAUAUUUAAUAAUAAAUAUAACUUAAAUGAAUGAGUUCGACUUAAAUUUUCAAAAUACCAAUUAAACCUAAUCACUUUUAAAGAUCGACUAUUCAUUUUUUAUUUUUUUAGUCAAAAAAAUUUUUAAAAGAAAGAAGUUUGAAAAAAAUUGAGAUCUUGAUUAUUUUUGUUUAUUUUAAUAUUUUGUAUAAAACUUGUUUAAUAGUCACAAGUUACACAUUUAAUGAAUUCAAGUGUUUAAUACUUUGCUUUGAACAAAAGAAAAAAUAAAGAAAUACUUAGUACAAAAAGUUAGGACCUUUGAAUAUAAAAAGCAAAAUGAAAAAGAAUGAAUGAUAGUAUCUAAAAAAACCUUACUACUAGUUGGUAAUUACAUACAAGGAACAAGCCAGUCGAAUAAAAAUAUGAUAAAAUGAAAUAAGCACACAAUUAUUCAUUGAUAGUAGCAGUACAUGAUAAGAGCAGCAAACUCCCCUUCCACUCAAAGGGGAAAGGCAAAUAAACUUAAAAGAGCAAAACACACACAAAAUAGCAGACAUAAAAGGACUAAUUUGAUUUUUCAUUGAAUCGAAGACUACAUUCAAGUAGAAGUAUUUGUUUUGUGGGCAUUGCUUUUUCUAAGAUUGCCAAUACGGUUUGUAUGAGAGUGAGUAUCACCACGAUGAAAGCAGCAACAGUCGCAGUUCCUCUCCAAAGAUCGUUGAAUAAACUUGCUUCAAGGUUGCCCAUCUACGAUUCCAAGAAUUUUUAUAAUGCCAGUUUAGCUCCAUACCGACAUCACCAUAAAGCAAAGUUGAAUGUACAACUCCCACCGCAAGAUUGUUAAUCAUAUUUGCCACAGCUACACUGCUACCCAAUCUAUUGACAAUAAUCUCUUCCUUUACUAGUAAAUCUACAUCUUCAUUAGUGUCAACAAGAGAGUCUAGUAGUUUAAUAUAAUUACAAAAGUAAGUUCUUUUUGGAUAAUAAUAUUGUUUGAAAGUCAUCAAGUUUCUAAAACGAAUCUCAGUCUCGUACUCCACAUCGAUAGUUAACAAUUUUAGCACUCCUUUCUCAAAUCGUACCUGAAGCAAGCCGUACGUGGUGGUUUUGAGCAUAUCAUCCAUAAGCAUAUCUAUAAGCUCAACACCUUCAUACUCAAGACCACCAAUCUUAUAACAAUUAUAUGAAACACCAUUAAACACAACACCAAAAUCAUCAUUAACUACAGCACAUUUAAACUCAACACCAGCCUCAUGCAACCUCGUUGCGCUGUGCAUGUUGUGGCUUCCUACGCGAAAAUGGCUUCCUGUAGGACUUGUGUUCAACGGACAAGCCCUCAGCACUUGAUAUCUAAUUAAAUUUGUGAAGUGUUUAAUCUUCUUUUUCUCGAAUGAUGGAUCUUUAUUGACACCGAAGUACAAGCAAACAAGAUCGAGAAAAGAGGGUUCACUGGAGGUAAGGAAAGCUAGCUUAUUUAGAUCUUCAAGGACGAAGAAUGGAAGUUGAUUUUCAAGUAACAUCAAAUCUGUUAGAAGUUUAACUCUUAACAAUGCACUUUGGUUUAAGAAGUCGAAGUAGACAUCCUCCUCAUCAUCGUUGUAGCCCUCCUUGGUGGAUUCUUGUUUUUUCGUCAAAUCCCUCAAGAAGAGGGUAAUGAUAAAAACUGCAUCACAUAAUAUCAUCUCAAUAAGCUGGGAAGCGUCCAACUUAUAGAUAGAUUGGAUGUCAUAACACCUGCCUAUACGUCUUAAAUUCCAUAUGACGUAUUCAUGAAAUUCUGUCAAUCUCUACCAAGAAACGGUUAGCGAAAAUUUAUCAUAAUAUCUCUUCUUUUGCAACUCCAUUUGAGCCAAAUUUUUGUUACCAGGAUGCAUAGGUCCUAUUGAAAUCAAGUGAGGAGUGUAGGCUUCUUCGUUUCCUGCACGAAAACAUCUAGGGACCUUGUAAAGUUUCAAAGUGUGAAUUAAACCCGAUCACUUUUAAUGACCAACUAUUCAUUUUUUAUUUUUUCUUCAGUUAAAAAAAAUUUUUUCUUAAAGAAAGAAAUUUGAAAAAGAUUGAGAUCUUGGUUAUUUUUGUUUAUUUUAAUAUUUUGUAUAAAACUUUUUUAAUCAUCACAAGUUACACAUUUGAUGAAUUCAGGUGUUUGUUUUAAUACUUUGCUUUGAACAAAAGAAAAAAAAACGGACUACUUAGUACAAAAAGUUGGGACCUUUGAAUAUAAAAAGCAAAAAGAAAAAGAAUGAGUGAUACCAUAUAUAAAAAUCUUACUACUAGUUAGUAAUUACAUACAAGGAACAAGCCAGUCGAAUAAAGAUCUGAUAAAACGAAAUAAGCACACAAUUAUUCAUUGAUGGUAGCAGUACAUGAUAAGAGCAACAAACUCCCCUUUCACUCAAAGUGGAAAUGCAAAUAAACUUAAAAGAGCAAAACACACAUAAAUUAACACACAUAAAAAGAUUAGCUUUAUCUUUCAUUGAAUUGAAGACUGCUUUCAAAGUAGGAGUAUUUAUUUUGUGAGUGCUCCUUUUUCUAAGAUUGCCAAUACGGUUUGCAUGAGAGUGAGUAUCACCACGAUAAAAGCAGCAACAGUCGCAGUUCCUCUCCAAAGAUCGUUAAAAUAGACAUGCUUUAAGGUUGCCAUUCUACGGUUCCAAGAAUUUUUAUAAUGCUGGUCUAGAUCCAUACCGAUUUCACCAUAGAGCAAAGUUGAAUGUACAACUCCCACCGCAAGCUUGUUAAUCAUUUUUGCCACAGCUUCACUGCUACCCAAUCUAUUGACAAUAAUCCCUUCUUUUACCAAUAAAUCUACAUCUUCAUUAGUGUCAACAAGAGAGUCUAGUAAUUUAAUAUAACUACAAAAAUAAGCCUUUUUUGGAUAGUAAUAUUGUUCGAAGGCCAUCAAGUUUCUAAAACGAAUCUCAGUCUCGUACUCCACAUCAAUAGUUAACAAUUUUAGCACUCCCUUCUUAAAUUCUACCUCAAGCAAGCCGUACUUAGUAGAUCCAAGCACAUCAUCCACAACCAUAUUGCCAAAACCUUCAAACUCAAAAUCACCAAUCUUAUUACAAAUAUAUGAAACACCAUUAAACAUAACACGAAAGUAAUCUUUAACUGUAGUACUUUUAAACUGAACACCAGCGUCAUGUAAUUUCGUUGCACUAUGCAUGUUGUGGUUUCCCAUAUGUAUAUCAUUGUCCAACUUUGGACAAUUCAUCAACACUUGAUAUCUAAUUAAAUCCGUAAAAUGUUUAAUCUUCUUUUUCUUGAAUGAUGGAUCUUUUUUUAUACCGAAAUACGAGCAAGCAAGAUCAAGAAAAGAGUAUUCAUUGGAGGCUAGCUUAGCAAGAUCAAGAGAAGAGUAUUCAUUGGAGGAAAGAAAAACUAACUUAUAUAGAUCUUCAAGGACGAAGAACGGAAGUUGAUUUUCAAGUAACAUCAGAUCCGUUAGAAGUUUAACUCUUAACAAUGCACUUUGGUUUAAGUCGUAGUAGUCAUCCUCCUCCUCAUCAUGGUAGUAGUCCUCGUCGGUGAAUUCUUGUUUUUUCGCCCAAUCACUCAAGAAAAGCGUAAUGAUAAAAACUGCAUCAUGGAAUAUUAUCUCAAUAAGCUGGGAAGCCUCCAACAUAUAGAUAGACUGGACGUCAUAACACCUGCCUAUACGUAUUACAUUCAGUUCAAUAGAGCUCAUAAAAUCUUUCAAUGUUUUCUCCGAAGUCUUUCGCAGAAAUUUAUCGUAAUAUCUCUUCUUUUGAAACUCCAUUGGAGCCAAAUUUGGGUCACCAUGAUGAGUAGGCCCAAUUGAAAUCAAGUGAGGAGUGUAGGCUUCUUCGUUUCCUGCACGAAAACGUCUAGGGACCUUGUAAAUACAACACUCACGCCCAGGCUCUGAGUCUUCUUCAGGGAUAUCAAUUGCUGAAUCUUUGGGUUGGUCGUUGUUUUCAUUUAGUGGAGCAAUUUCUUGGUCGGUGUUUGCUGCCAUAUAUGCAACUUCCUUCUCAUGUAAACAAACGACAAUUAACAUCAAUAAGCAAUAGCAAUAGAAUUAAUCAAGCCACAAGUUCAGAUUAAAGCUUUAUCAAGCCACAACUUUAGAUUUAUCCCAAAAAACAUAGGGUUCGAUUCAGAUGAAAGAACUUAAUGUCAUUAAAAGUGAAGCAAUUAGCUAAAGAUAAAAUAUAAAUAAAAUCAAAACCCUCAUAAGAAUAGAAGUACAUACUUCUGAUGCUGAAGAAAAAAUCAAAGUAGUAGAAACAGCUCAAGGUUCAAAUUGCGAGAUGAACCAACUUGGUUUCGGUAUUGAAUACAACUGGUUCCGGUAAGUCUUGACGAGAGCAAUGAGCAAAGUUCUCUCAAAUGUUAUAUAGGAAAAUGCUCACCUUGUUUCUUAAGUUCCAUCCUUGGAUCGAACAAGUCGUCUACGAGUCAAUCUUUCGUACAAAAAAUUAUUGCUUGCUAGUUGUCAGGUCCGUGGCUUUGGAUGCGGGUCCUAUCUGCACCCUGGGUCGGUCCCAUGCACCCGUGAAUCACAAUCGUAUGUGGGACUCGCUAGACCUGGCUGAGUGAAAGCAUGGGUCCGACCCAAAUUCUACCCACACUUGGCUCUCCAUGCGAAUUAAUACUAGCCUAACAGGAGGAGUUCUUCCACCCUCGUAUCAACAAAACAUGUGGCGAAACAAUUUCUUUCAGUCAAUUCCAAUCCAUUUUUUCUAGCCAUAGUGGGGAAAUCAAUGUCCCACAUGUUUCGGCUCUUUGGCUGCGCUACCACCGUUGAAUGGUAGUUUUUGUAAACAUAUUUAAUGAAAUAAUAUAUCUUUUACUUUUCAAAAAAAAUUCCUAAGUCAUUUUUUUUAUCAGGGGAGCAGCUGGUUGAUCAUUGCAUAAUUGAAUUAUUCCAGGAACUACGUGCCUAAAAUUCAAUGUACCUUACCCCAAAGGCCAAGGAUAAAAGCAUAUGCAGCCCCACAUCUUUCAUAGUGAAUUUUUGUAGUGUUUUUCUGAGAUAAACACUCCACAGAGCAGGCUCCCCUUCAACAAAAGAAAAGAUGGUUGAGUCCUAGGUCUCUCAUGUUGAAACUUUGAUUUGUGAUUGCUUCUUUACCAAUUCCAGACAGGUUAAUUUCUAUAUUCGUGGACCACAUGGAGCUGGGAAAGUUUUUACCGAAAUGUUCAAGGACAAAACAGACCACAAAUGGAAGUAUUAUCUAUUUGAUUGUUCAGAUUAACUCACCUUCUCCAGCAGAAUCAAAACUCCUUCACAAAAUCCUGACAUUUUGUUGAACCGUGGCCCAAACACCACCUGCCAUAUGUAAACCCUUUGCGUAAUGCAAAUGCUAAUUGUUUGAUAUUAUGCAGAUAAGGUUGCAAAGAAGUUGCGCGUAUAAAAGAAAAUCAGAGGAAGAAGUUGCGAAUUUAAGCUUUUAUACUAUAAUUCAGGGCAGAGUUAAUCAACUUUUAUUGAAAGUUAAAAAUAAAAAAAUAAAGAUUAAAAAUUUUUGAAAGGACAUUAAGAUAAUAUAUAUAUAUAUAUAUAUAUAUAUAUAUAUAAUAUACACAACAUUUUAAAAUUUUUGAGAAGUCACAGCCCCAUAAACACACUACCCUCUCCACCCUUGGUUCAUCUCUGUCUUUGAGUGCCAAAGAGGACUUUGCAGCAGAGGAAACUAAUUAAACUAUAUUACAUGUCCUACAUUUCAAUAUGCAAGCUAUAACCAAAAUAUACAUUGAUGUAAACUUGAAUCAUCAGAAUAUCACUGCAGAAGAAACCAAUAUCACAGUGAUACGACCUUAGCUUCAAAGAGUAGAAAGCUUGAAGAAAAAAAUGUAGCAGACAAAUGUUUAUACACCACACAGAGUAUGAGGUUGGUUUUUUUUUUUUUUUGUUUAUUUUAACAUUUUGUGUAAAAGUUUCUUAAUUGUUAAUUUUAAUACUUUAACUAAAGAAAAAAGGAAUAAAUAGUAAGGAAAGUUAUGAUUUUUUUAAUGGAAAAAGAAAAAAAAUAAAAGAAGAGUGAUAAUAGCCACAUACAAGAAACAAGCCAAUCUCAUAAAAAUAUGAUAAAAUCUAAUAGGCACACGAUCGUUCAUUGAUAGUAGCAGUACAUGAUAAAAGCUACGAAGGUUGAAAACAAACUCUCCUUCUACUCAAAGUGGUAAGGUAAAUAAACUUAAAAGUGUGAAAUAAACACAAAUUAACACAUAUGAAAAGGUUGAUUUUCACUUUAAUUGAAUAGAAAACUGCAAUCAAGUAAGAGUAUUUUAUUUUAUGAGCUUUGCUUGAGCUAAGAUUGUCAGUAUGGUUUGUGUGAGAGUGAGUACCACCACGAUCAAAGCAACAACAGUUGCAGUUCCUCUUCAAAAAUUAUUCAAAUAAACAUGCUUCGAAGUUACCAUUCUACAAUUUCAAGAAUUAUCAUAAUAGUAGUUUAGACGCAUUCCAAUUUUGCCAUAGAGAAAACUUGAGUGUAAGACUCCCACCGCCAGAUUGUUAAUCAUAUUUGCCACAGCUGCACUGCAACCCAAUCUAUUGACAAUAAUCUCUUCUUUUACCAAUGAAUCUAUAUCUUUAUCAGUAUCAACUAGAGAAUCUAAUAAUUGAAUAUAAUUACAAAAAUGAACCUUAUGUGAAUAGUGACAUUAUUCGAAAGCUAUCAAGGUUAUAAAAUGAGUUUCAAUUUCGUACGCCACAUUAAUAAUUGAGAGUUUUAGCACCCCUUUCUCAAAUUCUAUAUUAAGCAAACUAUUUAUAGUAUUAUUAAUUAUACUCUCAUCAAUCUUAAAUAUACCAUUUUUAACACCAAUAAACUUAACACCAACCUCACGCAACAACAUCGUUGCAUUUUAGAUGCUGUAAAUUUUCGACGAAUCAACGUUUCACAGCCGAUUACUCUCUACUUAAUAUUUAAUUAAAUCCGUAAAGCAUUUAAUCUCCUUUUCCUUCAAUGAUCAAUCUAUAUGGACAUUAAAGUACCAGCAAGCAAGUUCGAGAAAAGAGGUAUCAGACUUAGGAAAUGCUAGGUUAUAUAGUUCUUUAAGGACAAAGAAUGUAACAGCAAAUCUAUUAAAAGUUCAACUCUUAACAAUGCUUUGUGGCUUAAGAAGAAGUCGUCGUCGGAAUUUUUUUUUACUUUCCCUCGAGAAGAGCUCAAUGAUAAAAACUGCAUCAUGUAAUGAUUUCCGAUGUAGCUGGCAAAUUCUUUCAAUGUCUCCUCGGAAGUCCUUUCCAAAAAUUUCUUGUAAUACCUCAGCUUUUGCCGUUCCAUUUGAGCCAAAUUUUCAUUCCCAUGAUGAAUAGGUCCUAUUGAAAUCAAUUGAGGAGUGUAGGCUUUGUUGGUUUGCUUCAUGAAAACGACUAGGACCUUUAAAUACAACACUCGGGCACAAGCUCUAAGACUUCUACAGGGAUUUCAAUUUCCAAAUCUUGGGGUUGGUAGUUGUUUUCAAUUAGUGGAGCACUUUUUUGAUUGGUGUUCGCCAUAUUUGCAACAUCCUUUUCAUGUAAAACAAACGACAAGUCUCACUAGUGUGCAAUACCAACAAAAUUAAUCGUACCCCAACUUUGGUUUUGGGACACUUACUAAGGUUCAACUUUAGAUUUACCACAAAAACUUGGGAUCAGAUCCAGAUGAAAGAUCUUAAUUGCAUCAAAAGUGAUGCAAUUUGUUAAAGAUAAUAUAAAUAAAUAAAUAAAAUCAAUAGCCUCUUAAAUUAAGAAUAGAAGUACGUAGCUCUAAUGCUGCAAAGGAGGAUCAAACCAGAAGAAACAGCAAACAGCUCAAGGUUCAAAGUGCAAAAUGAGCCAACUUAGUUGCAAAGUAUUGAGUACAACUGGGUCCGGUAAGUCCUGGCGUUUCAAUUUUGUACGGCAGAGAGUAACGAACAACCUUCUUUAAAAUUUAACAGAGGAAAAUGCCCACCUUAUUUUUAAGACCCAUCCUUUGAUUGCACGAGUCGUCUACCAGUCAAUCUUCGAACAAAAUUAUUGCGUUUUCCUUGUCUUUUUUUGAAUGUGACAAAAUGUUAUUGCUCUUACUUUAUAUGGAGAUUUGACAUCACUAGGCACACUUCUCCAGCCAUUUCUUUUUUGAUAAUAAUUGGGGGUUAUCAAAAGUUGUAACCCACCAAAAGAGAAUUACUACCCUACAUAGUCAGAAAUGAAGUCACCAUGUACAAAACAUAUCUCAGAAGUCAGAAAAACAUCACAGCCCCUUCCUUUACAGCAUCAAAUAGAAAACAGCCCUGCCCCCUCAUCCAACAAGUACCCAUUCUGUGCAACUCUGGAAAAAGAGCUCAAAUCAUGUGGUCUCAUUCUGCUUUCGUACUCCUGAAAAUACUCACAUGUACAGCAUAUAUUUGUUAAAUCUACAUUGCAUGGUAUAUGUUGUUGUCACCAGUAGAACAUGGAAGAGGCCAUGAAUCCUGCAGAUAAUUGUAUGGAACGUGCAGCGAAGAGGCCAUGGGACAUUCGUCAAUAUUGCAAUUUUGUAGCCUUUUUUCUGAGAUAACCACUCCACAUACCAGGCUCCAACUCAACAAAAGGAAAAAAAAGUUGUUGAGUCCUAGAUCUCCCGUGUUGAAAAUUUGAUUAGUGAUUUUCUCUUAACCAAUUCAAAACAUGUUAAUUUCUAUAUUCGUUGACCACAUGAAGCUAGGAAACCUUUCACCAAACGUUCAAGGACAAAACAGACCAGAAAUGGAAGUUUGCCUACUUGAUUGUUCAGAGUAACUCACCUUCCCCGGAAGAAUCAAUUCUCCACCACCAUGAAUUGUCUCUUCCUCCUUCAGACUUCCACUGACUUCGCAGUUUGCCCCCUUGCUAAGCUGUUGCACUUCGCACUGCUUCCUUGAUUGGGUUGACCAGCGCCAUGCGUAUUAUUAUUUGGACCUUUCUUUUUAAUGGGCUAACACUUACAGCUUAAGUUGAUAUCAGCCCAACCCAACCACAAGAGGGUGGCUGGUGGAGCUCUCCAUGGGCCAAGUUAUCAGCCUUAGCCUGCAGGCCUGAUCCAAUAGGCAGGCCUGGAUAUGAUAUUCUAGGCUAAGGUUCUACAAGUCCUGACCCAAGAACACUGUUAUUUUUAUUAAUAAAUAUUAUAUUUUAUUUCAUUUUAAUUAUAAAAUAUAUUUUAAAAUUCAAAUGUAAAAUAUUUUUUAUAUUUAAUAAUAAAAUAUAUAUAAAAUGGGUGAGUUGGACUUAAGUUUUCAAGGAAACAACCAGACCAAAUUACCUUUAGUGAUCGGUUGUCUAUUUUUUAUUCUCUCUUUUAAUUAUGAGACUUGUUUUUUUAGUGAUAUAAGUUUGGAAAAAACCAUUUAAGAUCUUGAUUCUUUUUAGUUUAAAAUUUCGUGUAAAACUUUCUUAGUUAUUAUAAAUUAGACGUUUGAUGGAUUCUAAAAUUUUAUUUUAAUACGAUUACUUUGAACAAAAAGAGAGAGCAAUUAAUAAGGAAAGAUGUGGAUUUUGAAUAGAAACAAUCCAAUCCCAUAAAAAUAUGACAACAUCUAAUAGGAAUACAAUUGUUCCCUGACAAAAGCAACAAAGUUCGAAUCCAAACCACCCUUCUACUCACACGGUCAAGCAAAUAAACUUAGAAGUGCGAAAUAAACACAUAUUAGUACAAACAAAAAGACUGAUUUUAUUUUGUGGGCUUUACUCGUUCCAAGAUUGCCAAUAUAGUUUGCGUAAGAGUGAGUACCACCACAAUAAAAGCAGCAACAGUCGCAGUUCCUCUCCAAAGAUUGUUGAAGUAGACAUGCUUCAAGGCUGCCCAUCUAUGAUUCCAAGAAUUAUCAUUGUACUGGUUUAGAUCACGUCCGAUUUUGCCAUAGAGCGUAGUUGAAUGUACAAUUCCCACUGCAAGAUUGUUAAUCAUAUCCGCCACAGCUGCACUGCUACCCAAUCUAUUGACAAUAAUUCUUUCCUUUACCAGUAAAUCUACAUCUUCACUAGUGUCAACAAGAGAGUCUAGUAAUUGAAUAUAACUACAAAAGUGAGCCUUAUAUGGAUAGUGACAUUGUUCGAAAGCCAUCAGAUUUCUGAAACGAGUCUCACUUUCAUACGCUACAUCAAUAGCUGGGAGUUUUAGCUCUCCCUUCUCAAAGUCUACGUCAAGCAAGCUGUUUAUAGUAUUAUUAAUUGUACUCCUACCAAUCUUAAAUAUACCACUUUUAACACCAGUAAACUUCACACCAGCCUCAUGCAACAUCGAUGCAUUGUAGAUAUUGUGGAUUCUCGACCGAUCAAUGUUUCGCGGACGAUUACUCACUACUUGGUAUCUAAUUAAAUCCGUAAAAUGUUUAAUCUCUUUUUCUUUCAAUGAUCGAUCAGUAUGGAUAUCGAAGUACCAACAAGCAAGUUCGAGAAAAGAGAUACCAGAGUUAGGAAAUGCUAGGUUAUAUAGUUCUUUAAGGACAAACAACGGGAGUUGAUUUUCAAGUAACAUCAAAUCUGUUGGAAGUUCGACACUUAACAAUGCUUUGCGGCUUAAGAAGUCAUCGUCGGAAUAAUUUUCACUUUCCCUCAAGAAGAGCUCAAUUAUAAAAACUGCAUCAUGUAAUAUUAUCUUCUUAAACUUGGGAGCCUCUAACAAAAGAAUACACUGGAUUUCAUAACACCUACAUAUACCUUCUGCAUGAUCUUCGAUGUAGCUCUCAAAUUGUUUCAAUGUCUUCUCACAAGUCCUUUCUGAAAAUUUCUUGUAAUAUCUCAGCUUUUGCCGUUCCAUUGUAGCCAAAUUUUCGUUACCAUGAUGAAGAGGCCCUAUUGAAAUCAACUGAGGAAUGUAGGCUUUUUGGUUUGCUUCACGAAAACGACUAGGGACCUUGUAAAUACAACACUCAGGCGCAAGCUCUAAGACUUCUACAGGGAUUUCAAUUACCGAAUCUUGGGGUUGGUGGUUGUUUUCAAUUAGUGGAUCACUUUCUUGGUCGGUGUUUGCCAUCUUUGCAACUUCCUUCUCAUGUAAAAACAAACCACAAUUCUCACUAGUGAGCAAUAGCAACAGAAUUAAUCAGGUCAAGCCCCAACUUUCGUUUUCGGGCGCUUAUAAGGGUUCAACUUUAGAUUUACCACAAAAACUUAAGAUCAAAUCUAGAUGAAAUACUUUAUUUCAUCAAAAGUGAAGCAAUUUGCUAAAGAUAAUAAAUAAAUAAAUAAAUAAUCAAUACCCUCUAAAUUAAGAAUAGAAGUACGUACCUCUGAUGAUGCAGAGGACAAGGAUCAAACCAGAAGAAAUAGCUCAAGGUUCAAAGUGCAAAAUGAACCCACUUAGUUGCAAGUACAACUGGAUCUAGCAAGUCUUGGCGUUUCAGUUUUAUACAGCAGAGAGUAAUGAACAAGCUACUUGAUUGUUCAGAGUAACUCACCUUUACCAGCAGAAUCAAUUCCCCACCAUCAUGAUUUGUCUCUUCCUGCUUCACACUUUCACUGACUUGGCAAUUUAACCCCGCUUCUUAUCUUCUUCCCAACCCAACUAAAUGAGGGUGGUACGUAGAGCUGUCCACGGGCCAAGUUACCAGCCCAGUUCGCAGGCCUCACGUGAUUUCAGUCGGGUUUGGAUAUGAUUUUUUAAAUUUGGAUCCAAUUCAGUUCGAUUCAAAAAUAUUAUUUUAUUAUUUAACUUAAAUUUAAAAAUAUAUUUUACAAUAUUAAUAUAAAAAUUAAUUUUUUUAAUAUUUAGUAAUCAAUAUAACUUAAAUAGAUGGAUAAGUCUAUGUUUUCAAGGAGUCUAUCGGAUCCGAUCACCUCUAGCGGUUGAUAAUUUAUAUUUUUAUUCUUACUUUUAAUUGUGAAAAUUUUUUUAUUUAUUUUAAAAGAUCAAAGAUGGGAAAAAAUAUCUUGAUUUUUUUAUUUAUUUUAGUAUUUUUUGUAAAACUUUUUUAAUUGUCUUAAAUUAGACGUUCAAUGAAAUGAAUAAUUAAUAAGAAAAGUUGUGGCUUUUGAAUAAAAAAAAUAAGAGUGAUAUUCGGAAGGUAAAGGAACAAAGUCCAUUNAAUAAAUAAAUAAAUAAAAUCAAUACCCUCUAAAUUAAGAAUAGAAGUACGUACCUCUGAUGAUGCAGAGGACGAGGAUCAAACCAGAAGAAAUAGCUCAAGGUUCAAAGUGCAAAAUGAACCCACUUAGUUGCAAGUACAACUGGAUCUAGCAAGUCUUGGCGUUUCAGUUUUAUACAGCAGAGAGUAAUGAACAAGCUACUUGAUUGUUCAGAGUAACUCACCUUUACCAGCAGAAUCAAUUCCCCACCAUCAUGAUUUGUCUCUUCCUGCUUCACACUUUCACUGACUUGGCAAUUUAACCCCGCUUCUUAUCUUCUUCCCAACCCAACUAAAUGAGGGUGGUACGUAGAGCUGUCCACGGGCCAAGUUACCAGCCCAGUUCGCAGGCCUCACGUGAUUUCAGUCGGGUUUGGAUAUGAUUUUUUAAAUUUGGAUCCAAUUCAGUUCGAUUCAAAAAUAUUAUUUUAUUAUUUAACUUAAAUUUAAAAAUAUAUUUUACAAUAUUAAUAUAAAAAUUAAUUUUUUUAAUAUUUAGUAAUCAAUAUAACUUAAAUAGAUGGAUAAGUCUAUGUUUUCAAGGAGUCUAUCGGAUCCGAUCACCUCUAGCGGUUGAUAAUUUAUAUUUUUAUUCUUACUUUUAAUUGUGAAAAUUUUUUUAUUUAUUUUAAAAGAUCAAAGAUGGGAAAAAAUAUCUUGAUUUUUUUAUUUAUUUUAGUAUUUUUUGUAAAACUUUUUUAAUUGUCUUAAAUUAGACGUUCAAUGAAAUGAAUAAUUAAUAAGAAAAGUUGUGGCUUUUGAAUAAAAAAAAUAAGAGUGAUAGUCGGAAGGUAAAGGAACAAAGUCCAUUCAAGAAAAAUAUGAAAAAAAAAAUCUAAUAAACACAAUUAUUCAUUGAUAGUAGCAAUACCAAUACAUGAUAAAAGCAACAAAAUUUGAAACCAAAUUCUCCUUCUACUUAAAGUGGAAAGAUAAAUAAAUAAAAGUGCGAAACAAAUACGAAUUAACACACAUAAAAAGAUGAAAUGAAAACCUACAAUUAAGGAACGAAUUUAUUUUACGGGCUUUACUCGAUCCAAGAUUGCCACUAUAGUUUGUAUGAUAGUGAAAAUCCCAAAAUAAAUCGAUGCCACUUUCAAAGGAUUUUCAACAGCAUGGGAUAUUUUUGCUCCAAUCUGGUUAAGAGGAUCUCGAUAAUACUGUUUUAGAUCCUCUCCGAUUGUAUAAUAGCACAAACUUGUAACUCCCACCAUAAGAUUAUUAAUCAUAUUUGCCACAGCUGCACCGCUCCCCAUUCUAUGAGAAAUAAUCCCCAUUUUAAUCAGUAAAUUUACAUCUUCAGCGACAUCAACAAGAGAAUCCAGUAGUUGAAUAUAACCACAAAAAUAGGCCUCACUUGGAUAGUGACAUUGCUCGAAGGCUAUUAGGUUUCUAAAAACAGUCUCAGUUUCAUACUCCACACGAAAAGAUGGGAUUUUUAGCACUCCCUCCUCAAAUUUGACAUUAAGCAAGCAGUCGUCUACAGCUUUAAACCGAACACCAACAGCACGCAACAUCGUUGCACUGUAUCUGUUGUUGGUUUUCUCAACCAAGUUUGAAGGGUGAGUUCUCACUUGAUGGCGUCUAAUCAAAUCUGUGAAGUGUUUAAUCCCCUUUUGGUCUAAUGUUUGGUCUUCAUCGACUUUGAAGUACAGGCGAGCAAGAUGGAGAAAAGAGGGUUUAUCAGAAGUAGCGAAAGCUAGGUUAUAUAGAUCUUCAAGGAGAAAGAACGGGAGUUGAUUUUCAAGUAACAUUAAAUCCGUUUGAAGUUCAACACUUAACCAUUCUCUAUGGAAUAAGAAGUCGUUGACUUCUCUUUCAAAGUUCCUCAAGAAGUACUCAAUGAUAAAAACUGCAUCAUAUAGUAUCAUCUCCGUAAACUUGGAAGCCUCCGACUCAGUCCUAAAGACAAAUUGGACUUGAUAACACUUGCAUAUACGAUUUAAAUGCUCUUGGAUGAAGCUCACAAAUUCUUCCAAUGUCUUCUUGGAAGUCCUUUGACAAAAUUUUUUGUAAUAUCUCUGCUUUUGGGACUCCAUUCGACCCAAAUUUGUCUUACCACGAUGAAGAGGUCCUAUUGAAAUCAAAGUUGGAGUGUAGGCAUUUUCUUUUGCUUCACGAAAACGUCUAGGGACUUUGUAAAUACAACACUCAGGCGCAGGCUCUAAGUCUUCUUCAGGGAUAUCAAUUGCCAAAUCUUGGGGUUGCUGGCUUUUUUCAAUAAAUGGAGCAAUUUCUUGGUCGGUGUUUGCCAUAUUUGCAACUUCCUUCUCAUGUAAACAAACGACAACAUUUCUCACUAGUUAGCAAUAGCAGCAGAAUUAAUCAAGAUUUAACCUUUAUUAAGUCCAACAAAGUGUUCAAACUUUAGAUUUGAGACACUUAUUAAGCCCAAACUUUAGAUUUACUCCAAAAAAAACUUAGGGUCAGAUGUAGAUGAAGCUACUUAAUUUCAUCAAAAGUGAAACAAUUAGCUAAAGAUUAAAGUAAAGAAAAUCAAUACCGACUUAAGAAUUAAGAAUAAAGGUACGUACCUCUGAUGCUGAAGAGAAGGAGGAUCAAACCAAGAGCAACAGCUCGAGGUUCAAAGUGCAAAAUGAACCAACUUAGUUGGAUAACUGAGUACAACCAGAUCCACCAAUUCUUGGCGUUGCAGUUUUGUACGAAUCGAGAGAAAUGAACAAGGUUGUCUCAGAUCUAACAGAGGAAAAUGCCCACCAUAUUUCUUUAAGUCCCAUAUUUCGGUUGCACACGUCUUCGAAUUAAGAGUCAACCCUAAAUUAUUAUUCUUAUUUAGUUUAGAUUGCACAUCUUUCUAUUAAGUCCCAACCUUCGAUUGCACAUGUCCUUUAAUUAACAGUCAAUCCUAAAUUAUUAUUUUUUAGUUUAGAUUGCACAUGUUUCUAUUAAAUCCCAACUUUCGAUUGCACAUCUUCAUUGUUUUUUCUUUUUCUUUUUGUUUGAAGGGCAAAGACUCAUUGAUUAAAGUGACAAAGGCACGUGAUUGGUUAGUUUUGAAUUAUUAUUUUUUUUAUUUUCUGUGUACUCUAAAAGUAUGAUAUGUGUAUUUGCAGAUGGCACAAGGAAUCCAAAUUUCAAAACUUGUGUAGGAUUCCCCUGCUACUGGAAAUACGAUAAAAAAUGUUAAAACCCUUCAUAGCAUGUCACGCAGCAAACUACCUUUGUAUUCUGCAGAUGCUUAAUAGAGUAUGCUGGGUUGCCAUUUUCAUCUGGUUCUUAACUGCAGCCAUUUGGUAAUGGGCAGUCCAGGGACGAUCUACACCAGAAUAUUCCCUGCAAGCUCAGCACAGAGCUACGGACUGCAAGCUCACUAGAAGAUCCAGAAUAGGGUUUGCUUGGUCAGUUCUCCGCCGGGGACCAGCCAAAUGGCAACCGAGGAAUAUGGAGCAGUUCUGAGUUUGCAGCACAUCUCAGUGACAACAAUUAUCUAGUGCAGAAUCUCCCUUGGUCUGACAACAUUACAAUUAAACUUGAUCUGCUGCGAACUGAAAAUUUCACAGCGUUAAAUGCAACAAACACAAUUAAGUACCAAAAACAACAAAAAGGAACCAGAACUGAGCAUGGCACAUGCCAUGUUGUCUUCAAAGAAUGUGUGCUCAUGAAACAUUUUCUAGAUGGUGAGAACCCUGGGGUUACUUUACAUAGCCUUUCGAUUAGGCUGAAGCUUUAAACAGAACAACCCAACAUUUUCUAUAUAACACUGAAUUAGAAAUCAAAACAUAGAAAAACCAUGAAACAGAUUACAGUAAAAAAUAUUCCUGCAGUUCUUUUUGCCUGUCCCUCUCUCCAUGUUCAUCAUGCUUUGAAUGUUGAGGGUAUUUGAUCUAUUUGUCAUACCAAAUUCACAGGCUCUUACUUUGCUGCCAUGAAACAAUCGAAAGGCAACGAAAGACAUGCUCUCACUGAUUUUGUUUUGCUGAGAAUGCUGUGAGAAUGUAUACUUUCCUUUGGUCACGUUAAGCAGUCUCUCCGGAGAAGAAACAACUAAAGUAGCAGUUGCCACCGAGGAAACGAAAACCAAUGAUGUUUUGAAGAUCAAAAACUUUGUUCGUAGCUGCAAUUCCAGAUUCUCACACUCAGGAGAAUAAUUCGAAAGAGAAAAACGUGAAAGACUGAAUUUUAUCUUUCUCAAGAAAAAUGAAUGACAAAGACUGAGAGUACAGUUAAUUGUUUGGUAAUUAUGCAGAUAAAGAUACAGAGCUGAACCACAAAACUCAUUGCAUUAAGGUAAUACAAGGCACUAAAAAGGAAAGAAAAAUGAAAACCCAGAAAGAAAAAAUGGCCUUAAACCAAGGCUGAGACUCUUAUUCAUCCCCCGCCCUUGGACGAAUUCCAAGUCCAGUUCUUGCACCGACUUCCAUUAAAUCUUCCACCUGUUCAAACGACAUUAUAAAACAAGAUUACAAAUGUUGAUGGUGAAAAUUGGAAAACAAAGGAAGCAAUAGUUUGACAUGUUUGCACCAACUUGUGAAUGCCGGAAGCUUUAAGGAAAGCGACGGAUGCGGAGGCAGAGGAGCCGAGGAACAGAGAAGCGACGGCGAAGGCUUUGAAGGGCAUCAAACGAUGAUCACCCGCGUAACCUUCACCAUACGAAGAUAAAGCCUAUCCAAAUUGGGCAACGAUUGCUGUGGCCCAAUACCAGUGGCUUUGGAUGCGGAUCCUAUUUCCAUCACCACCGCCCCCCUCCACCUCCAUGACUCGUAUCUUCCUUCUUCAAGACUUUCACUGACUUCGCAGUUUCCGCCCCUUCUAAGCUGCUGCUCUUCACACUGCUUCCUUGAUUGGGUUAGCGGGCGCCAUGCAAUUUGGACACUUCUUGUUUAUGGGCUAACACUUACCACGUACCAGCUUGACUUAGUAUCAGCCCAGCCCAACCAUUGGUGGGUGGCUGCUAGAACUGUCCACGGAGCGAACCGGCUCGACCCCAUAAUGUUAUUAUAUAAAGAAACAUUAUAUUAUUUUUAAUUUAAUUUUUAAAUAUACUUUAAACUAUUAAUAUAAAAAUAUAUUUUAAUAUUCAAUAAUAAAUAUAAAAUAUAAUAUCUAAAAAAAAUUUUAAAUUAUUGAAAAAAAUUCAAAUAAAUUUUUAUUCUUUUCUUACGUUUAAUUAAAUCUUGAUACUUUUAUUUUGAAUCAAAUAAGCCUUAUGACUAAUGGUUUUCAUAAUUAAAAUGUCACUUUUCACUCUAUACCAUAUGACAUGUUAUAAUUAGUAAUAAAAUAAUAUAUUGAUAUGUCAUAAUUAAUGAUAACGUGAUAUACUAAUAUCACAUAAUUACAUAAUUAUAUGAUAUUUUUUACCUUUCACAUCAAUAUCACGUCAGAUCUAUGUGAGUAUAAAAUAAUAAGUUUCAUUCAAUUAAUAACAAUUAGUCAAUCAUUAUUCAUAAGGACUUAUUUAACUCAAAAUAAAUGUAUAAAGAUUUAUUGAAUGCAAUACAAAAUUAAAGAUUUAUUAAAAUUUCCUUUAAUAAUUUAUAAGUUUUUUUUUAACAUUAUUCCUAAAUAUAACUUAAAUAGGCAAGUUGGCCUUAAAUUUUCAAAGAAUCAAUCAAACUCAAUGAUCUCUUUGAACAACUAUCCAUUUUUAUUUUUUCUUUUAAUCAAGAAAUUUUUUUCCCUUUUUUUAAAAGAUAGAAGUUUGAAAUUUAAUAGUUUGGAUAAAAUUUUUUUAAUUGUUACACAUUUAAUAAAUUUAAGAUUUAUUGCAACAUAAUUACUUUAAAAAAUGGAAUAAUUAGUAAAAAAAAUUGUGACCCUUAAAUAGAGAAGGAAAAUACGGAGAUAGAAUCCUACUACUAGUUAGUAAUAGCGUAAUAAGAAACAAGCCAGUUCCAUAAAAAUAUGAUAAAAAAUCUAAUAGCCACACAAUUGUUCAUUGAUAGUAACAACAUCAAUUCAUGAUAAAAGCAACAAACUUGAAACCAAGCUCUCCUUCUACUUAAAGUGAAAAGGUAAAUAAAUUUAAAAACAUGAAACAAACACAAAUUAACACAAAUCAAAAAACGGAAUUGCAUCUUAAUUGAAUGAAAAAUUGCAAUCUAGUAGGCGUAUUUAUUUUACGGGCUUUACUCGAUCCAAGAUUGCCAAUAUAGUUUGUAUGAUAGUGAAAUACCCCAAAUAAAUCGCUAUCACACUCCCAGGAGUUAUAUAACCGACCGUUCUUGCACGAAGCUGUUUUAUAGGCUUUAGAGAAUACUGCAUUAGAUCCUUUCCGAUUUUGUAGUAGCACAAACUUGUAACUCCCACCAUAAGGUUGUUAAUCAUAUCUGCCACAGCUGCAUUGCUUCCCACUGUAUGAGAAAUAAUCCCUCUUUUUACCAGUAAAUUUACAUCUUCAACAGCAUCAACAAAAGAAUUUAAUAAGUGAAUAUAACCACAAAUAUAAGCUUCCUUUGGAUAAUGACAUUGUUCAAAGACAAUCAGGUUUCUUAAAAAAGUCUCAGUUUCAUACUCCACACGAAGAGAUGGGAUUUGUAGUUCGUUGUCCUCAAAUUUGACGUUAAGCAAGCAGUCUUCUACAGCUUUAAAAUGAACACCAGCAUCACGUAACAUCGUUGCACUGUAUGUGCUGUCAGUUCUCUCAACAAAGUUUGAGGGGCGAGUUCUCACUUGAUAAUAUCUAAUCAAAUCCGUAAAGUGUUUAAUCCCCUUCUCGUCUGAUGCUACAUAUUCAUCGACUUUGAAGUACAAGCAAGCAAGACGGAGAAAAGAGGGUUUAUCAGAGGCAGUCAAAGCCAAGUUAUAUAGAUCUUCGAGGACAAAGAACGGGAGUUGAUUUUCUAGUAACAUCAAAUCCGUUUGAAGUUCAACAUUGAACCAUUCUCUAUGGUUGACUUCAUUUUCAAAGUUUCUCAAGAACAACUCAACGAUAAAGACUGCAUCAUACAGUAUCAUCUUCAUAAACUCGAAAGCCUUUGACUCAGUGGCCAAGGCAAAUUGAACAUCAUAACACCGGCAUAUACGUUUUACUUGCUUUUUGACGUAGCUCUCAAGUUCGUUCAAAGUCUCCUUGGAAAUCCUUUGCAAAAAUUUCUCGUAAUAUCUCUGCUUUUGCCUCUCCAUUCGACCCAAAUUUGUCUUACCAUGAUGAAGAGGCCCUAUUGAAAUCAACUGUGGAGUGUAGGCUUUUCCGUUUGCUGCACGAAAACGACUAGGGACCUGAUAUAUACAACACUCAGGCGCAGGCUCUAAGUCUUCUUCAGGGAUAUCAAUUGCCAAAUCUUGGGGUUGCUGGCUUUUUUCAAUAAGUGGAGCAAUUUCUUGGUCGGUGUUUGCCAUAUUUGCAACUUUUCUUCUCAUGUAAACAAAUGACAAUAUUUCUCAGUAGUUAGCAAUAGCAGCAGAAUUAAUCAAGAUUUAAGCUUUAUUAAGUCCAACAGAGUAUUUCAAACUUUAGAUCUGGGACACUUAUUAAGCCCUAACCUUGGAUUUAUUCCAAAAAAAAUCUUAGGGUCAGAUGUAGAUGAAGCAACUUAAUUUCAUCAAAGGUGAAGCAAUUAGCUAAAGGUAAAAGUAAAGAAAAUUAAUCAAUACUGUCAUAAGAAUAUAAGUACGUACCUCUGAUGCCGGAGAGGAGAAGGAGGAUCAAACCAGGAGAAACAGCUCGAAGUUCAAAGUGCGAAAUGAGCCAACUUAGUUGGAUUAUUGAGUACAACAGGAUAUGGCAAUUCUUGGCGUUGCAGUUUUUUACGAUUCGAGAGUAAUGAACAAGGGUUCUCUCAGAUCCAACAAAGGAAAAUGCCCACCAUGUUUAUUUAAGUCCCAUACUUCGAAUGCACAUGUCUUCUAAUUAAGAGUCAACCCUAAAUUAUUAUUAUUUAGUUUAGAUUGCACAUCAUUCGAUUAAGUCCCAACUUUCGAUUGCACAUCUUCAUUGUUUUGUCUUUAUCGUUUUGUUUGAAGUGACAAAAAAUCAUUGUUUAAGAGGUUGUUUAAAGUGAUUAUUUAGUUUUGAUUUUUUUUUUCAUUUUCUGUGUACUCUAAUAUGAUAUGUGUACGUUCUGCAAGGAGAAUGCUAUUUGCAGAUGGCACAUGGCUCAUGGAAUCCAAAUUCAAAACUUGUGCAGGAUUCCCCGGCUACCGGAAAUAGAAUGAAAUAUGUUAAAACCCUUCAUAACAUGUCAGGCAGCAAACUACCUUUGUAUUCUGCAAAUCCUUAAUGGAGUGUGCUGGGUUGCCAUUUUCAUCUGGUUCUUAACUGCAGCCAUUUGGUAAUGGGUAGUCUAGGGACGAUCUACUCCAGAAUACCCCCUGCAAGUUCAGCAUCAUAUCUACGGACUGCAAGCUCGAGUACUACAAGAUCCAGGACAGGGUUUGCUUGGUCAGUUCUUUGCAGGGAACCAUCUAGAUGGCAACCGAGGAACAUGGAGCCGUUCUGAGUUUACAGGACACCUCAGUGACAACAAUUAUCCGGUUCAGAAUGUCCCUUGGUCUGACAGCAUUAUAAGUAAACUUGAUCAGCUGCGAACUGAAAAUUUCACACAGUUAAAUCCAAUAAACACAAUAACUAUAAAACAGGAACCAAAACUGAGCAUGAUAGUUGCCAUGUUGUCUUCGAAGAAUGUGGGCUCGUGAAACAUUUGCUAGAUGGUGACAACCCUGGGGUACUUAACGUAGCCUUUCGAUUAGGCAAUGAAUAGACUUAAACUUUUCUAGCAUUUAUUCUUAUCACCAUAUGCUCACUGUUCUCUUAACCAUAAAAUAUUAUUUAUUAAAAAGGGUCAAUUUUGCGAGGAAAAUAUUAUUUUUCGGCGCCUCCUCAGUUCACAUUAUGAGGUAGUAUAUUACUAUAUUUCUUUGGUGUAGGUAAAUAUAAGGGUGACUAACAGGCAAUAUUUUUAACAAAUUAAAAACUAAUGAAAAAUGUUUGAAUUUUGAUUUAGAAUUCUUGACAUAAUUCCCUCUUUUCACACCAAAAAAGUCAUUCAUUGAAGAAUGACAAUGUUUCCCAUAGUUUUUCAUUUGUGGACUCACAACAUUUUUUGGAAGUAAUUAAGAGACGUGGAAGAAAUGGAUUCAAGUAGUGCAAAAUUGUCACAGCAUCUAUAUUAACAAAAGUAGGAAAGUAGGGUUGAAAAUCAAUGGCAAUGUGUUUUUAGAGUACUUAACGUAUGAUAAAUGAAUGACAGAGACUAAAGUUCAUCUUUCUUAGGAAAAAUAAACGACUGAGACUGAGAGUAGAGUUAACUACUUGAUAAUUAUGCAGAUAAAGAUGCAGAGCUGAACCACAAAGCUCGUUGCAUUAACGUCAUAUAAGGCACUUAAAAGGAAAGAAAAAUGGCCUUAAACCGAGGCUAAUGAAACUCAUUCAUCCCCUGCUCUGGGACGAAUUCCAAGUCCAGUUCUUGUACAAAUUACACAUUUAAUAAAUUCACAAAUUUAUUUUAAUACUUUAGUUAGAACAAAGGAAAUAAAGAAUAAUUAGUAAAAAAGGUUGUGGCCUUUGAAUAUAAGAAGUAAAAAAGAAAGAGAAUGAGUCAUGGUCUUACUACUGGUUAGUAGUUACAUACAAGGAACAAGCCAAUCCCAUAAAAAUAUGACAAAAUCUAGUAGGCAUACAAUUGUUCAUUGAUAAGGGCAACAAAGCUUGAAACCAAAUUCUCUUUCCACUCAAAGUGGAAGGGCAAGUAAACUUAAAAAGUACAAAACAAACACACAUAAAAAGAUUGAUUUUAUUUGUCAUUGAAUCAAACACUGCAAUCAAGUAAGAGUAUUUAUUUUGUAGGCUUUGCUCUAUCUAAGAUUGCCAAUACGGUUUGUGUGAGAGUGAGUACCACCACGAUGAAAGCAGCAACAGUAGCAGUUCCUCUCCAAAGAGUGUUGAAAUAAACAUGCUUCAAGGAUGCACAUCUACGAUUCCAAGAACUUUUAUAAUGCCGGUUUAGUUUCAAACCGAUUUCACCAUAGAGCAAAGUUGAUUGUACAACUCCCACAGCAAGUUUGUUAAUCAUAGUUGCCACAGCUGCACUGCUACCCAAUUUAUUGACAAUAAUUUGUUCUUUUAUCAGUAAAUCUACAUCUUCCUUAGUGUCAAUAAGAGAGUCUAAUAGUUUAAUAUAACUACAAAAAUAAGUCUUUUUUGGAUAAUAAUAUUGUUCGAAGGCCAUCAAGUUUCUAAAACGAAUCUCAGUUUCGUACUCGACAUCAAUAGUUAACAAUUUUAGUAGACCCUUCUCAAAGUGUACCUGAAGCAAGCUGUACGUAGUAGAUUCGAGCACAUCAUCCUUAACCGUAUCCACAGACUGAAAACCUUCAAACUCA